rnacentral:lncRNA from 1 species
UAGGUCAUCGAAAGGAUCUCGAAGACCCACCAACACGAAAGCUGUUGGGAUCUUUCAGAAAAUAGAUUCCUAUUCGAAGGGUGCAUAACCGCAUGGAUAAGCUCACACUAACCCGUCAAUUUGGGAUUCAAUUCGGUUCCGAGGUAUCGGGAAGGAAUUGGAAUGUAAUCAUAUCGAUUCAUCCAGAUACAGAAGAAAGAGUUCUCUAAUGAUGUAUGUUUUUGCAAAUUAUUCAAAAUCUGAAAACCAAGUUAUUUGUCUCAUAGGUUUGAUUUAUUUAAACAUUUCAAAUAUAUAUUAUUAUGCAAAAAUAAAAUAAGUUAAUUAACGAGUUAGGAGGGGAGAGAAAGGUGAGCAGAAAGAGAAAGAGAGGUUGGAAAGUAAAAAAAAGAUUUAGAUGUAAUACCUUUUUUUUAUCUUUUCUUCCCUCCCUAUAUUUUUUUUUUUAGAGUACUUAUCUUCUACAUCAUAUACAUACACUCUUUGUACUAACCAUCAACCUGUAAAAACAUGACUUUCACUUACUUGAACUACAGAAUCUGUUUCUAUGUCUUUUUCUUAAUGUUUUAAUUUAUUGUCUUCUUAACAUAAAUUUGUUAUAUAUAUAUAUAUAAUAUAUAUACAAUUACUUACGUUAAUUCCAUUUACUAUCAUUUUUAUAAUAAAACUUUAUUUUUAAUAAUUUUGAUAUUAACUAAUAUUAUUAACUAUUUAUAUAUUAUUAUUUAUUCUUAAUAUUUUUAAAUGAAUUUCUUAAACAUAUAUCUCAUGAAUAAUAUAUAUAUAGUAACUAAAAAUUAUUUUUUUUAAAACAUAUAUAGUUAAAUUUAAUAUAAAUCUCGAUAUUUAGUUUUAGUCAAUAGUUAUAAUUAAAAUUAAAAUAAAUAAAACUAAAUACAAAAUAUUAAAGUUAAUAUUAAUUAAAUAAAUUUAAUAACUUAAGCUUUAUAUAAUAGGUGUUUAUGGGUUAGACUUAGUUUCAUCAAACUUGACCUUAAAGUAAUUUGGGUUUGAUAUAUGAUUUUUUUUAUUAAAUUCAAACUAAAUCAAUCCUGUUAAUAGUAGAUUUAGAUCAAUAGAUAAAAAAUAAUUAAAAUUAUUUUAUAUAUUUUUUAAAAUGUUUUUCCUUUUUGGAAAAUAAAUAUUUUUCAUGAAAUAAAAAUCUAAACUUACACAUUUUCCAUGAUUAAAAAAAGUAUUUAACCCUUUAUUAAAUACAAUUGCCUGUGGUUUCCUAAUUUUAUUGCAUUUUCCUUUACAAUUAUAUUUUGUAGACUAUAACUUAAAAAGAAAACUAUACCAGGUCCCAUGGUAAUUCUGACUAAUUUCUAUGUUAGCCAUAUUUAAUUUUUUAAUUUAUGAAAAUAUGAUUUUUUUUUUUAUCGGCAAACAAAAUAUGAGAAUAGUAUUAGAUUAACUGUCAUGUAAAAAUUAGUUAGAUCAUAAUAAUCUACCUCCUAUUUUGUUUUUCAAAAUUUAAGACCAUGAUAUAUUAUACUAUGACAUCUAAAUAUAUACUUAAUUGAAUCUAAGUUUGAAAAUUGUAGUUUUUUUUUAAACUUUUAUAAUGAUACAUUGGAUAUAGCGUUGACUUUUAUCAAGUUUUAAGUGAUAUUCAUCAAAAUUGGAGGAUUUUUUAUCAUAAUAGUAAGUUUUCAUUCUCUUUAUCAGUAAUAAAUAAAUUAAAUAAUUGGAAUAUUUUAAGAAUACUUUAACCCUUAUACUAAUCUCUUAACACACUUUAACUAGCAUGUAGUAGAAUAACAGUCUUAACUAAUAGAACUUUGUCUAGAUAUUUAGAACAUUUUUAAUGGGAAUUUCCGUUCACAAGGUUCAUAUUUGAUACCUUGUUUAAGGAAAUUGAGUCCAGUACUCUUGAGAUUAACACCUUUAACUGGGAUUGUUUUUGGCAUACCAAAUUUGAGGCAGGGAUAUAUUUAUCUUUGUUCUAGGUUGAUAAUAUUAGUUGGAUGUUGCAUUUGAGAGGAUGAUUGGUUAAAAACAUUUUCACUAAGGUGUUUUACUUGUAGUUAUGUAUGAUUUGAGUGCAUGUAGGAAAAAUUGCUGUCUUUAGACUCUAGUGGUCAAGAGGCUUAUGGCAAAAACAGUCUUUAGACUUAUUACUGGUUUAAACUCUAUUUGAGCAAUGACUUGGAAAGCAAGAUUUGUAAGGUGUUGAACAAGUUUUCUAUUUCUUGGUAAUGUUAUUAAAGAUGUUUUUUUUUUUGUUUAAAAAUUCUUUUAUUCUUGUACAUUCAGGUUCUAGAAGGUAUAAUUAAGUAUAGAUGGAAUGCAUUACCUGUUGAGCAGAGAGAUGAAAUGAAAAAUUUCAUCUCUGAUGUCAUUGUACAGGUACGAACCACAUUUAAAGAAAUCAGAGAUUGGACCAUUUCAGUUUUUCUUAGAUUUUUUAUGGACACCAAGCUUGUCUGCAUUAUUUAUCUCAUUAUUGACUUUUUUUGCUAGCUUUCUAGCAAUAAUGCUUCAUUUCGAGCAGAAAGGCUGUAUGUCAACAAGUUCAGGUAAAAAUAGUUGUUCUGUUCUGUCAUUUCGACUGAUUAUUCUGUUUAAAUUAUCAGUCUCACAAACCAUUGUUCAUCAAGUAUGUUUUAUCCCAUAUUUUUCCAUAUUUUCGAUUGUCUACCUUGUUGAAAGGUCUGAAAUGUGAGCAUUCCUUUAUAAGUUUUAGUUCCUCUUUCAUUUUAAAUAGUAUUAUUAACCAAGACGUCUUUCCUCUACCAGAAUUUUAACAGGACAUGUGUUCUACCUGUAUUUAAUUUUCCAUUUUAAUUGACAUGUUCUGACUUUCUCAAUUAAGUUAAAUCCAAUGUGAUAGUAAACAAAUACUAGAUUUUGCUGCUUUAAUGGUAUAUCUUACUGAAUUUUCUAACUCUUGGUCUCCUACGAAACUUACUGUUAUUUUCACAGGUGUUAGAGGGCAUUUGUUGGUAGCCUUGGGGUAUGGUUUAUGGCCAUCAAUGGUUCUUAUCUCUGAAGAUGUCCAGACCUUUUCUGUUACUAUUAUGUCAAAAGGUUGGUUUAGUUUCUAAUGUAGUUCUUUUUCUCCCUGGCAUUCGUUUAAUGCUUCUGCUCAGAGUUUCUCAACAUCACUCCAGCACUUCUCUUGUAUAUUUGACCUCAUUAUUUUUAUUUAAUUGCAGUGUUUUCGGGGGACAGCUUGUUCUAUGGUCGGUUACCCUUGUUAGAGUACAUUUUGUGUUGGCUCACUUGUUUGGUUCUUUGGUGGAGUGUAAACUUGUACCAUCCUAAUAUUUCAAUCUCUUGGAGUUAUAUAAAGUAAAGGUGUUCUGAUAAGUAUCUGAUUCAUGGUAUGAGCAUUGUAGGGAGUCACCAUAAUACUUCUUUUAUUGGAUUUUCUGCUUUUAAAGUGUUGAAUUUGCUUUCGAUCGAGUCAUGUCUCACAUAACCACACCUGUGAUAAUAAUAUCAAUAAGCAUGAGACUUCAAGCACACAAGUUCCUUGCAAGAAUUCCCUCAAAUGUAAUUCCGGGUCCAAAUGCAAGUAUCAAGCCCCAUUCAGAAUCUCCUCUACCAUCUUUUCUAGUCUUGAGAGCCUCCUCUAUCAUAUACUCCAGCACAUACACAAUGGUGUUGCUGCUAGCAUUGCCAUAAUCCAUGAGAGCCCUUCUACUUGCACUUAGCUUCUCGGGUAACAAAUCAAGUCUCUUCUCAAUGCGAUUCAAGAUGGCAGGCCCCCCUGGAUGCACAGCCCAAAACACCUUGUUGUACUCCUUAUUCUGGAACCCAACAACACUCAUUAAUUUCUCACAGAAUCCUUCAACAUUGUCUUCAAUUAUCUGAGGAAGUUCCCUUGCUAGCUUGAAGCUUAUCCCCUCUUCUGUCAGCCUCCCAUCAAUUUUCUUCUCAGUGUGUGGCAAAAACUCCUGAACUGCAGUGUGAAGCUCAAAGAGAGGCUUCUCAUACUCCAAUAUUGGGUCUGACCCAAUUAUCAUGGCACCAGCACCAUCCCCAAAGAGUGCCACCCCGACAAGAUCAUAGGGUCUAUCUGCACUUGGUGGCUUGAACCCAAUAAUUGUAGUUUCUGAGGUAGCAAGCAACACCCGACUUCCAGGGUUGUUCUCAGCUAUGUCCUUUGCAACACGUAGGCCAGCCACACCUCCUGAACAACCAGCGAAAUAGAGCAUGAUUCGUUGGGUAUCAGGGCUCAGUCCUAGUCCUUUCGCUAGGUAAAGAUCACCACCAGGUAGUCUUGCUUCACUAGAUGACACAUAAACCAAAUGUGUUAUGUCUGAUAAUGAUCCACCCCAGUUCUUAAUGCAACCUAGUGCAGCCUCAAUGGCCAUUUCUGUCACUGCCUCGUUGCAUAUCUCUAGCCUCUGCUUCACUGUGGGGGUGCCUUCAGUCACAAGCUCUGGAUACUUUAUCAGUAUUUCCUCUGACAUAACCACGUACCUUGUUUUCACUGUGGUUGUUUUGCCUGUUUAUACCACAUCAAGCCAAAGUCAGUGUCUCAUUGACCUGCCUUGAGGUUUAUUUUAUUAAAAUCAGUUUGGUUUGGUUUCUGUUUAGUAAUUUUGCACGUGGCUUCAAAUCAACUUCCAAACGAAAGCAACAUCAGGGUUUGUUUUAAACAUACAUUUUAACUCUCUUUUUUAUCAAAAAAGAAUAAAUAAAAUAAAAUGAGGUAUUAUAGGAGUGUCUCAAUCCUUGUAAAAAAUCUCAAAUCAAGCUUCCAAGCACCCAACCAGCUGAGGAUCCAGCAGACAUUAUAACACAUCGAAUAUAUUAACAUAUGAGAUCAAGAUACAAGAGCACAACAAAUACAAUUACAUUAACCUUCAAAGGAAUCACAUUCUCAAAACAAGACACAACAGUCCAACAACUAAACAAGAUCUUUGUCAGCAAACAGAAACAGAAGUACACAAAACAUCCAAGUACAUUUGCAACUUUUGAUCCAAACAUUCAUAACAAGUUUGGGUAAAGCCAUUGUUUGUUGUAUUCAAACAUGAUUUCAGGUUUCCACACAUUGUUGUAUUCAAACAUGAUUUCAGGUUUCCACACAUUGUUGUAUUCAAACAUGAUUUCAGGUUUCCAACUGUUUGAAGAGUAAAAGGUGGUGGAAAUAAAGAGUACACAAAUCACCUGACAUGAAUAACAAUAUCCCUAUGUAUACAUAGAAAAGGGUAAAUUGGUGAAAGCUUGUGUGUGUACUUACAAAGUCUAGUGAGCUUCUGCUUAAGCUCAGGAUUGUCACAGUUUGUGCUCCUGAAAUAUCCAUCAACUAAAUACUCUUGCAUGACAAGCUGUGGAGGGAAAGCCUUGCCAAGAGCUAAUAUGGUAGCCUUCCCAGGGUUGACCCCUUUCUUUGUAACACCUUUCCAAAUACCUUCUUCUCCCAUAUUUCUUCUUAGGUAGUGAUAUCAGAUGCAUGUAAUUUCCUCUACCUAGAGAAAGCAGAACCAGUUGUAUAUAUAAUCUUCCAAGCAUGUCUAUGACUUUGUGGCGUGACAAGUUUAUAAUAGUAUUACUUGAUGCACACAACUUUUGUUAUAUGUAUAAAAUGUGGGUUAGUUAGGAGGCAAGUUGUUCAUGGAGAUCAUAUUGCAUUAGUUGAUGGGAAGAUGUUGAGGAUUUGUUUUUCAGUUGAAGUUAGAUCAACCACACAAAUGGCACCAACCAUGAACCAUGAACCAUCUUAAGUCACUUCAACUACCAUGAUUAAGGUGGUCAACAUAACACUUGAGAUAAGAAAAAUCCCCAGCAACAAUACUGAACAAUAUGGAUUUGCUAUCUAACCAUCCAUCUCUCUCUAAUGCUGCCACAUUGAUCCUUAAAAUCAAAGAUUAACAAUUAUCUUUUUCUUCAGUAAAAAAACUUUUUUAGCAAAAUUUGAGUUGGUAUAUAACAUUCAUACUGAAAAAUGUGCUUAUGACUAAAUAGUUGCACAUGUAGGUCUUGAAAUGUAAAAAUAUUAUGUUGGGUUAAAAAUGUAUGAAUCAUGUUUCAUUCAUAUAUGUAUAUAUAUUAAUCAACAUAAUUAUUCAUAUAUUUUUUAUCUCUAUGACUUCUGUGCUUCUAUCUUCUUUGCAAACACAGUGGCAGUAUACUAUGCAUAUAAAUGUUACUGGUGUAUUUUCAUGAAUGGAAUAAGUAGGUACCAGCAAUGCUCCCUGGUAUGGUUGAUGGAGACCGUUCUCAGCUUCUUCCGCGCCGACAGCUGUAUGCUGGUCCCAUGUCAAAGUUGAGAAUGCUCAUGAUCUGUCGAAUGCCAAAACCUGAAGAAGUUCUCAUAGUUGAAGAUGGAAAUGGGAACAUCCUUAGUGAAACCUUGAAGGACAAUGAUGUGCAUGUUCGGUACAAGGUUAUAAGGUGACACCUUAAUUCUGCUAAAAGUCUGUUGAAUAUUCAUAUCUAUACAUUAAAAAACUGUCUCAGUUUUUAUCCUCAGAAUAGUGUUUUAAUAGAUUGGUUAUGUAUAGUAUUGUUUGUGAUAUUCAGUUAAUUGGAGACACUUUUUGAUUGGCAAUCACUGGGAAAAAUGCGAGAUUACUACUCUAGAUGUUAGUGCCGUCAUUCCAAGUAAUGACUAUGUCAUGAACACAUACAAUUAAUUACACACAUUUAAUAUGGCAAUAAAUGGCUGAAUUAUUCAAAGAGGGACUAAUGAGGUCAGUGGGAGCAAUGUUGGGGUGUGAUGUUUCCCUGACUGGAAGGUUGUACAUAAGUUGUUUGAGUUUAUGCAUGAGACCCAUCUUGGAGUUCAGGUUAUUUUUCCUACUUUGAAGCUUUCUGUCUCUACUUUUGCUAGCAUAUUAUUCCUUAUCAUACAAAUCAUGGGUUGGUGGAAUAUAAUCUUAAUCUAAGCUAACACCUCUUUACUAUGUUUAUUUUGUUUGUGGUGGGUCUUUGUUUCAGGAUAUGGCUUGUGAUACAUUUCUGAAAAUAGUUCAGAAGUGCAAGCGUGAAUUUGUGAUCACGCAGGUCUGCAAAUUUUUUCCUUCCUAAAUAUGUAGCCAUUUUAUUACAAUCUUGCAUAUAACUUGAGUACAUAAUCUAACUGCCUCAAUGAUUGGUAUUUCAGGUUGGGGAAAAUGAACCGUUUGUGUGUGAGAUUCUGAAUGGCCUUCCCAACAGCAUUAUGGAUCUUGAACCCCAUCAAAUACAUUCUUUCCAUAAAUCUGUAUGCCUUUAGAAAUCUAUAAUCUCAAGUUCAUUGGUUAAAUAUAUAUACAUGUUUUUUUCCCAUAUGCUCUAUUUAUAUACUUGUGUUUGCACAUAUUUAAGUAAUAUUCUUGUUUUGUAGGUUCAUCACAUGAUUGAGGCUGAGUCUAAUGUGCAGAAGAAAAAUGAAUAUUUUCAGCGGUUGAUGGAGCUCCAAAAUCAGGUCUUCCGCUAAAUAAUUUUCAUUCUGCUAAAUAAAAACAUAUUACAAAGAAAAUAAAUGUAAAAUUUAAAGAAUUGAAAUACACAUUUAUAUACAAUUCUCAAAACGGUAUAUUCUAGAAUUAAACUAUCUCAGAAAAUUACUUUCCAAAACUCUCUUGAAAGGUAUCCUGGAAUGAUGAAAAAAAUGAAAAAAAAAUAAAUUCUAGACAUAAUAUCAAAUAUUCAUUGAAAUGUUUUUAUACGAAUAACUUAAUUUAAUAAAUUGUAAUGCAAUGAAAUUAAAGUAAUACUUGUGUACCUCUAAUAGAAAAAAAUACAGUGUUGAAAGGAAAAUGAUGCUUUGAGAAUCUUGAAGUUGUAUACAACUCUUGAUGUAAUGAGUUUAAAAAUAAAUAUAUAUAAUAAAUGAUAAAUUUGUAAUUAAAUAAUAUUAAAAUAUUAAAAUAAUAAUAUUAGAUGUUGUAAUGCGGUUGUAUAAAAAAUAUGAGUUGUCAAUAUAUCAUUACCGAUGGUUAUAAAUUGUGACAUAGAAUCUGAAUAUUGGCUAUGGUUCUAGGCAAGUGAGCCAUCAUUAGUACUACAUGAUUCUAUUCACCACAAGAAACACAAUGGCACAUGAUUGUUACCAUUUUGUGACAAUGGUAGCGAUUGUGGUAUUAAGUUUGUGCACAAAAUUCUUGUACUACAGAGCGAACUGCUAAUGGCAUUCUGACUUCAUGUGAUCCAUCUUCCCAGAAGAGGUAGCCAAAUGAGAAUCUGCCUUGAAUUCGUAGCUUCGAAGAAAACGUUACCUUAAAUUUCAUUUUCUUUCGUUUAGGACUAAAUGUCAAGGUUGGUGGCACAACUGUGACAGAUACGCCAAUUGGAGCUUCAACACGAGCAGUGUAGACAGAUUUAAUUGGGCCAACAUUAGUGACUGUUCUUGAAACUGUGAGGGGUUGCUUCAGCUCAGGAAUAAUAAUAGAAGGGAGGUUCAUGUUUAAGAGGUACUUGUGUGAUUUAUGGCAUUUGGUAGGAACUCCUGUCAAAAAGCUUAUGGCAGUGUCGUUGUAGUCCAUAGAACAAAGGAAAUGAAUGUAGUCUGAGUUUUUCAUGUCAUAUACCAGACCAGGAUCUGUCACUUUGUUAGGAUCAACAUGUCCACCUCCGUAGUCAAAUGGGUCAGCUUGUUUAUGAGGUGCUCCCUCAGCCCAAAUAUACUCAUGGUAUUCAUUUUUCAGAGAAGCUUCAGAAAAAGCACAGAAAAUUAGGGCCUUCGACAGUAUGAUAUUGAAGUGUGAGAUGAGACAAUCUAGUGAGAGAGUAAAAAAAAACUAAGGAGUUAUUCUUGAUCUUUUAGGUUUGUUUCAAGUCAUUUGAUUUAUGUAAUUGAUAUCAUUCCUCUCAGACUCUCUUAAUUUAUCUGCUCCUCUCUCACCCUCUGUGUAUGUGUAUAUACAUAUCUGUACAUGGAUGUGUAUAAAGUGAGAGAUGAGAAGCGUAAGAAAAAUGUAUUUUAGCUAUACAUUUAGAAUGAAUGAUUAAAUCUACUUUUUUCAAUAAUAUAGAUUAGUUAUGUAUUGUUUUAUCUUUUAAGCUUAACUAAAUGUGUUUCCUACAUAUAUGAGACUUAAGAAACAUACUAAUAUGCUGUCAAAAAAGAACAUACUAAAAUUGUUUUAUCUCUUAAGAUUUUACAAGAUAGUUUCCUACAUACUUAAGUCAUAAUAACAUUUAAUCCAGAAAAAACCCCGUAAAUAUAAGAUAAAUUCUAUGGUACCCGGCUAAAUUUAAGAAGUUUGCUGAUUUUUGAGUGACAUAGCAACUCUAUAGAUACUUUUAGUGUUAUUCUAAUUAAAAGUCAUGUUUUAAUUUGGUAAGGAUUUUCCAGGUAAAACUUUUAUGACCAGAAAACAGCACUAGAAGCAGUUGAAAAAACUGAUUCUAAAAUGUUCUCUUUAAUUUUAACCAGUUGUGAAAUGAGCAAGAACAUUUUACCUGUUGUGACAAGGGCAGAUUUAAUUGCAGCAGGGCUCCAAGUUGGAUGGACAGUUUUUAUAAGUGCAACAAUACCAGAAAUGUGAGGGCAUGACAUGGAAGUUCCUGACUCAAUGUUGAAGGUAAGGGGCUGCAACUUUUCUGAUUUUGCAUCAGAUACCAAACGCUCAGAAGAAGCAGGUGACCAGGCCGCAAGAAUAUUAACCCCAGGAGCAGCAAUGUCAGGCUGCACCACAUUCAACAUAAAUGUAAAGCUUUGCCUUUUGUUAAGAUAAAAAAUAGCUAUUUAUGACAUUCAGGAGGAAUGAUCAGAACCUUCAAUACUGAAGGAGACAAAGAACUUGGUCCUCGCGAAGAGAAGAAUGCCACUUCCGGUGAUAUCUGUUGGCCAACAACUGUUUUUGUUUUGCCAAACUUUAUUACAGGAUCUCUACAAUAUACAUGCAUUCAUUACAAGGUAUUCGUACGUAAUUAAUUUGCUAUUAGUAUGCAAAAACAUAAAGAAACCCAACAUGGAAUGUCACCUUGCAACUACUAUUACUUGCAUUUAGUACCAUAGUGUCAGUGUUAUUUUCUCGUUAGAUCUGGAGUUUCAUCUGGGUAUAUACACUAUGAUUUAGUAAAGUUAUUUACUGAGUAAAUUAUUGAAGUAAAAUUCCAAAUGUGAUAGGAGCAUAAUACCAUGGAAAAACCAUGUUGUUAUCAUGUAAUAAUAAGACUUUUCAGUAAUCAAUAAUAUUAUGCUUUCUCAAACCAAAUACUCUUGUUGCAUUUUCUUUUUAAUUCUGAGAGAUAGAUGAAACUAGCUAGCUGCAUUUUCUACCAUGAAAGAUAUAUGUGCAGGUUACCGACCCAAUAGACUCAACAACCAUGACUCUGAUACUACAUAAAAAUUCGAGUGAAAAUCUAAUUCAAAUUUCUAAAAGCUAGUUCAUAAAGUGAGAGUUAUUCUCCCUUUACUGUAUACACUGUUCUAGGCGAAUCACUAGAUGUUGUCAUGUUGCACUUACAGAGUACUCACCUAGUUGCUUCUAUGUAUGAUAGAAUAGUUGUUCCCGUGAUAAAAUCAACUUGGACACAGGGUUUACUCCAUGAUGUAUCAACAUCUUUUGUAGGAAACUGAGCAAAUAUGAGACCAGAGCCCCCAGCUUCCGUAACUGUUCUUAUAGCUACUGUGGCCGACCUCUGUGACCGAGACUGGAAACACAGAAUUGCUUUACCUUUUGCUAAGGUGGCAUUCAGACUCCCUGAAUUGCAGCCCCUGAACAAAAAACAACAGAUAUGCACUACUUUCAGUCACAGUCACGACAGUUUCACGCAGAUAUCGAGCAAAUACGAACAAGGAAAUUUACCUUGCGCUUUCUUCAUCAGCAUCCGAAGCUGCUAUGUCUUCUCCAAAAACUAUUGGAUAAAACUUGCUCAAGUCUUUUCCUGUAUAUAAACUCUGACCCUAUAUGAGGAAAUAAAAUAUAGUACUGUGUCUGCACUGCUAACGGUUAAUCUAGCAAGGAUGCAAAUUAUUAACAUACAUUUUGUGUCUAUUUGCUCAGUUUAAGGUUUAGAUUUGCAUCUAUAAAAUACCCCUUUUGGGCUUUACAAAUUCACUUUUAAUUGCAAUUAUUUUGGCCAGUGUUUUGAAUCUACCUACAAAUUAAAUCACCUGAGAAUGAUAUUCAGGUUUAAUCUAAGAGUAGAUGCUUGUUCAAAAGAGCAUUCUUCAGUCUAACAAACUUUACUUGCAGAAUCUUAAUAAGGUAACAAACCUACACUUUAAUUUCUUAAUUAUACUUAAGUUAAAGUAUAGUGGAGGAAAGGAAUUAAGCCAAUGAUAUUUUAAAAUAUUUUACAAAGUCGGAGACUAAAAUGAAAUUUCUAUAAACUCCAUCACUAAAGUGAGUCAAGUAACUAAGGCUUACAAACUUAUUAGGACCAAAAAUGGAGGCUUAGUUGAACAAAGGACCUGCAGACAUAUGGAAAUGGAUGUAUAAUGUAUUGUUGCUUCAUACUUGACAUGCCAAUCUUAUAUUCGUAAGGAGAUGAAGAUUCAUUACUGUUAUCUGAAAUCCUAAGCUAGGCUCAUCUCAAUCAAUAAAUAACUUCCUGGGCCUCGUUGGAAUAAAAAAAAUAAUCGCUUUUCAUUUAUUAAAUGUUUGAAGAAUUUUGUGGUGAAACAUCACAACAAGAAAGAUGAAGUACCUGUAGAGUUUGAUUGUUUCCGAGGAUAAUCCUUGAUGGAAAUUCUCUGUCUAUGGUACUAGCAGCAACGGUAAUAACCCAAGGUGCAGUGUUUAUGACAGUUUGGGAAUAUGGACCAGAAUUGCCACCAGAACAUACCACAGAAAUUCCUUUAGCAACAGCAUGAAAAGAACCAAUGGCCAGUGCAUCCUCAACAUAAGUAGGAAGUGGAGGAUCUGAGCCAAGAGAUGCUGAAAGAAUGUCUACCCCAUCAAAUAUUGCAUCAUCAAAAGCUGCAAGAAUAUCUGCUGAGCUGCAUCCCCCAGUAGACCAACAAAUUUUGUAGACAGCCAACCAAGCUGAUGGAGCACCACCUCUUGCCAACCCUUUAGCUAGUCCCAUAAAGCUUGCAUUUUCCACUGCAACACCAGCUGCAGUAGAUGAUGUGUGAGUGCCAUGGCCUGAUGCAUCUCGAGGAGACAAGUACUCCACCCCAUCACUUGUAUUUAGUUUACCAAUUUCAGCUUCAUAUCCUUUAAUAUACCAACGUGCACCAAUAAUUUUCCUGCCAUCAUAUGAAAGGAUACCAUUUAAGGUUACAUUUUCCCCCAGAGUGUUCAAAGUAGAAAACAUAAAUGUAAAUUUACUGGACCUCUCAAUUUUAGAGACAAAACAUAAUUAGUUGCUAUAUUGAUUAAAGUAGAGACCAUUUUAGAGACUAAAAAAAUUUUUGAUUUCUAAAUUGGUUUCUAUUAUUGUUAAAUAGUUUAUAAAUUGGUAUCUAAUUAGCUACCAAUGUUUUAACUACCAAUUAUUUAGAUUCUAAAUUUAGUAGCAAAAACUUUAAUAGCUAAUUAAAUAUCAAUUUAGAAACUAUUUAACACUAAUAGAAACUAAUUUAGAAAUCAAAAAAAUUUUAAUCUCUAAAAUGAUCUCUAAUUUAAUCCUAACAACUAAUUAUUUUUUGUCUCUAAAAUUAAUUUCUAUUUAAUGAGUUUCUUGUAGUGUCUUAACAAUUCCUUAACAAAUUAAAGACAUCCUACUAUCAGCCACAACAAAAACACAUUAGUGAAUUAGGAAGUGUUGAGUUUUGGAGCUCAUCGAGUGCCUAAGUUCAAUAGUGGUUGUAACUUGGAACAUUUAAAAAGGAAAUUGAAUGGCUAGAAAUAAAUUCUGAAUGAACCUAUUGCAAGUGGAGCGGUUGAAAUUUUCUCCUCCUUGGCAUACACCACGCCAGUGAAGAGGAGGAUUGCCCAUGUGUUCAUCUCUAAAGCUCUCAGACUCUGGCCAAAUACCUGAAGAGUAAAGAGCCAAUUAUAUAAUCACAAUCUCAUUUUAUGAUGUUAACAUGCACAGCGUGAAGCAAUUCCAUACUAACCAGUGUCCAUGAUGCCGAUGAUGGUGCCUCUUCCAGAUUGACCCCUAGAAAGAGCACUGGUUAUCAUUUCUUGCUUUACGUUCAAGAAGUCCCAACUUCUUGUUGUGUGAAGACUGAGAAUUUUAUUUGGAAUUACACGGACAACCCCUGGGAAAUCUGCAUGUAAAUAAUACAGAAAAGGAGUGAAAAUUAUUAAUUUAUUAGUACUUAUUUGGGAGAGCUUUGAUUGAGAUAUGAUAGAGUUCUCAUUCUAGGAAAACAGAACAUUUAAAUACUCCACCAAACAUCUCAUACUAUUUCCACAAGAGUUGAACAUCCCAUAAUACCCAAAUUUCUACUGCAAUCACUCAUCAUCAUAUGCAAGUGCAAUCAAUUUGACUCAGAGCCACAACUUCUGUAUAUUACUUCCCAACGUAUAUUAUUUUACAACCAUCAUUUUGACAUUAUGCUAACUAGAGAGAUUGUAGUUUUUGUAUCUGUCAGAAUUAUUUCAUAAUUUGAAAUCAGCUAUCUUUCUGCAUGAUUUCCUUAAUUUCACUAGGAUCUAAAAAAAUCGUGCAUGAUGGAUCAUGGAAUAGUCCGUGACUGUUGCUAGCUUAGGUUGGUACUGUGUGUCACGAAUCUGGGGACCACUUUCACUUUUUAUUGAGGAAGUACAAAGGUUCACAUUUCUUCUAAUAAAGUCUUUUUUAAAGGAUAAUAAUGGUCAAACAAUAUCAAUCUUCAAAAUGUUCACCUUCAUUUUGAUCCUAUUUAUUCAUUUGCACAGAAAGUAUUUUGCAAUGCUUUCACAUAUCCCCUACUGUGGAUAUAGACUCAGCUUGAAAUUACCUGCAAUGAGCCUAGCUUGGGGCUGACUUAAAACUGCAGCGAAUCCAGAAAAGCCAUGCUUAUAGCUAUACAGAAUGGACUUCCUAGCAGCGUCUUUGCUGUUAAAAUAAAAAGGAAGAUAUCAGAUUCUGAAUUUUAGUUUUUAAAGGAAGUUUCAUAACAAUAUGCAAAGUAGGUUUCUCAUGUUGAAAAUUUCAAACAUGUUAUGUGCAUCAAAAUAGGCAGGGUAGAUAACCUCAUGGUUUCCCUCACACACCACAUUUCCAAACUCAAAUUGAAACUUCAGAGGAACAGAAACAAUUUCACAGAAAAACAACAGCAAUGAAUUAAAGGGCAAUUAACCUUCCGAGAAUUCUUGAUAGUAUGUCAAGGUGGGAGUCUUCAACCAACUGUUGCUCACUCUGCUUUAUUCUGUUGUUGCCCAUAUACACAAUAUGGACCUGCAAAAACCAGAAAGAGAAUCAAAUAAGUAGGAUGCAACUAAGGGAAAAUAAAAAUGUGGUUGGUAGAAAAAAGAAGAAGCAUAGUUUACAUACAUUGCUUGAGGCAAAGGUGACAAGGACACAAGCUUGUUGUUGCAGAACAAGAAUUACAAAAGUAAUGACUAAGUUCCAAGCAAGAGCCAUGAUGGAGUGAAAGCAAGAAUGAGAUUAUGAAAACAGCACUGUUUGAGUGAUGGUUUGGCUUAGUAGAUUUUGGAUAGUAUAUGUAACAGUGUACAUAGAUGUCAAAGAAACACACCCACUAAGUACCUGCUCCACCACCACUGCCAGCAUUUACUCUAUGGUGGGCUCAGUCUCAGCUUUUGGCUCCAUCAUUGAUCUUGGAAUCUUUGUACCUAUUAAGGGAUAAAGUGAGAUAGAAACGGGGAUUGAGGACCAUGAAAAUGAUCUUUCUUCUAGAUUGCCACUUUCUCUUUCCAACCAUGUCCUGUUGCAUUGACUAAUAUCGGAAUAAUUGAUGGUGAUGUCAACUCCUUCUAUUAUUUAUUGUUUAUAAUAUGCAUAAUGUGAUUCCAACCAGGGAACAGAACACUUUUCUGGCUCAGAAAGAACAGGUAUCAGUCUCAAUAUUUGAAAGGAAUUUUACUUUAUUCUUGGAUAAAAAAUUCACAACCACAAAGACUCUGCAUAUAUAUUAAUCCUAGAGGUUAUUUCCAUCCAAAAAUCUUAAAAUUUUGUCAAAAAAAUAAGUUAUUAACAGAAAUUUUAUGAUUUAUUAAUGAUUGAUAGUGUCUUCAAAGUUGAUGGUAUUCAUAGUAACUACUGCAACAGUUUAUGACUACUUGUCAUCUUUCAGGAGCUGGAAAAGUUUAGGUUAUAGUUAUUGGAAGGAAGUAACCUUCUCAUUCAAAGGAAAAUGUUCUCAGAGCAAUGACAUUAGAGUAGAGAUUUCAAAUUUCAAAGGUAAACUCAAACCAUGUGCACUAACUUGAAGUGAAUCAGAAUAUAAAGUUUAACUCAACUUUAUAAAAUCAAUUUCAAUUUUAUAAAAUUUUACACUUACUUAUAUAAUAUAAAAUAUUUAUUUUAAAUUAAUUUAAAAUUACUUAUAUAAUAUAAAAUAUUUAUUUUAAAUUAAUUUAAAAUAAGAUGAUGUUACACUUAUUUAUAUAUUAUAAAAGGUUUAUUUUUAAUUAAUUUAAAAUGUAAAAAAAAAAUAUAAAUAAAAUAAAAUAAAGAAAACUUAGAGAAAAUGAGACAUGAGGUAACUUUUCAUUUAAAAUUAUUAUUAUUAUUUAUACUUAUAUACAAAGGAAUUCACCUUUUUAACUUCUGUAAACAAAAUAUAUUUAUAUUAAUAUUUAAUUUUAUGAGGAAUAUUACAUUAUUUUUUAUUUUACUUUUAACAUAUUAAAACAGUUAUGGGAAACAGUUUUAAACAUAGAGAAAAAAAAAUUAAUUUAAUUUUCUAAAAUAUUUCUUCAUUUUUUUCAAUUUUUAUGAAAAGUUGCUGAUUUCAAAUUUGAAUUUUUGAAUUUUUUUACCUUUUUUUUCUCUUUUUGCUUUUUCUCAUUUUUUUCUCUCUUCUUUCUCAAAUUUCUCGUACUCUCUUUCUUUCAUACAUACUAAUAAUAAAAAAAGUGGAUGUCCGGGUAGUUUAGAUAAAAUUAAUAAACUCUGGUAGGAAAACAAAUAAAUUUAAUUUCUUCAUAAAUGAAAUUUGAUCUUGCGGUGCUUUAGAAAAGUGAUAAUUUAAUGGUAACUGUUUCUAUUUAAAAAAAUAAAUAAAUAAAUAAAAUGGUUUUUCGAAGAGACAAGUUUGUGGAGGAAGGAUCCAAAAGCUCGGCGAACGGAUAUAGUUUGGAAGUUGUUGGUAGCAGAAGCAGUGCUAUGAGAAAGAAUCAGUGAAACUAUUAUCGUGGCUAGAUUCAAUUUCUUCGUUCCUCUGAACGAAAUUGAAUUCAAUGGAUGCUAUCAGAAAGCAAGCCUCCAAGCUUCGAGAACAGGUCGCUCGCCAGCAACAGGUUCGUUACUGCAGAUCCUUCGCUUUCUCCUUUAUUUCUCUGAAAUUUGUUAGAGUUUCUCAAGGUUUUCUUUAUCAUUUCCUAUUUUCCGAUGCAAUUCUCGUUUAGCUCCCGCUGCGCGGUUAUAGCCUUGUAGUUGUUGCUCUCGUCAAACAUGAUGCCGUCGAGUAUUGGAUCUAAUCGAAUUUCGCACUUGCAUUGUGAAAAUCAAUUAAUGAAACGGUAGAUUCGAGAUGAAUUUUAAAUCGGUAGCUUAUCUUGCUAAGGCGUUGAGAUCGGUAGCUGAAUUCGAAAUCACCGCGUGUGUAUGAGUUUCCGUGCCUUUAAUUGUGAGGAUUAUGCUUAAAUUAGUAUCUGAUUAAUAUCAGUGUCUGAAUUCAAAGUCACCGAGCCACGUGCAUGCCUGUGUUUCAUUUCAUCAAUGAACAUAACAUAGAUGCAAUUUAGUAGCAGAUCAGAAUUGGAGUUUUACAUGGAUAAUCUGCGUAAUAAAUAAAGGUUUUCAUUGAAAACCAACAUUGGUUACCGAUAUCAAACUUCAGUUAAAAUUGGAGAACAACAGCACGUCUACCUUUGAAAGUGCAUGUAGGUUUUGUCCUUCGUUAGUUGUGACGAUUAAGUUUUUUUUUUCUUCUUUUUGUCUCGAAUGUUCCUUUGGCUUGAUUUGUUUCUUUCUCAAUCAGCGAGGUGCUAACUAAAAUUCAGAACUGUUGCUAUUCAGGCUGUUCUGAAGCAAUUUGGGGGUGGUGGUUAUGGAGGUUCAGAUAAUGUGGCUACCAAUGGAAUGGAACUCCAGCUGCACCAGAAACUUGAGAAACUUUAUAUAUCGACGCGUGCAGGGAAGGUUGCUUGGUUCUUCGAUUUCAAUUAUUUUCUAUUCGUGUAUAGUUCAUGUCAAUUUAUCUCUUCUUCUCUAGGCUGAUAAUAGCUCUCCUAUUGUGUUUUCAGCAUUAUCAAAGGGAUAUUGUUCGUGGUGUAGAAGGUUAUAUUGUUACUGGGUCUAAGCAAGUGGAAAUAGGCAAGUAAUAUUGGUUUGGGAAGCUUUUGUAAAAAUUUGUUGCUGUUACUUUGCAGGAAAUAUUGUUAUUGAAUUCCUAUGUAUCGCAUGUAAACAGGAACAAAGUUGUCAGAAGAUAGCAGGAAAUAUGGUGCAGAAAAUACAUGUACCAGUGGUAAUACACUGAGUAGAGCUGCACUAAGUUUUGCACAAGCACGUGCUCAAACGGAGAAGGAGCGUGGAAAUUUACUAAAAGCUCUUGGUACACAGGUACUGUAUAUGUAUUGAUGCUUUCUGUUGUGUAUAUGUUGAUGUAUGAGCUCAUUGAGCAGUACUUGCAACGCAAGGUUUAUAAGGCUCAAACCUGACUUCACAGAAAUAAUGAUUGGGUUUCCACUAACUGAACUGGUUUACAGAAUAUGAUUGAGAUUUACAGAUAUUUAGCUCUAUUUUAAUCUAAUGCAAAAAGAACAUGCAGGCUAUUAUGUCCAAAUCCAUUAUGAAUAGAAUUUAAUAGUCUCACUCAUAUACCGAGUUCAUGAAUCUUGCUUUAUCUAUAGCGGUGUCUCAUAUUGUUGACCAGGUUGCAGAGCCCCUAAGGGCAAUGGUGGUGGGAGCUCCAUUGGAGGAUGCACGCCAUCUUGCUCAACGUUACGACAGAAUACGACAAGAAGCUGAAGCCCAGGUAUUCUAAAAUUUAUCUUUCAUUUUUUUUAAUCAGCAAUAUUAUCUUUCACUUAACUUUUCAAAACUUGUUGGACUUCCACUUUCAUUUGUCAGCCUGUUUUUUGUUGUCUCCCGUGUUUCAUUACAUGUUUCGAUAAGGAUUUUAUUUUGCUAUUUGACGUGUAAUUACUGUCUUUUUAACCUAGACAGGCUAUUGAAGUUUCUAAACGCCAGGCAAAAGUAAGAGAAAUGCCACCCAGUGCUGAGAAUUCUAUGAAAUUAGAAGCAGCUGAAGGGAAGCUGCAAGAUCUGAAGACAAACAUGACCACACUGGGGAAGGAAGCAGCUGCAGCAUUGGCUGCUGUUGAAGCACAGCAACAGAGGUUAACUCUUCAGCGUCUUAUAGCUAUGGUAUUGCAGUGUGCCCUUACGAUUCCGCAAUGCUUCGAUUUAAUGAAAAACGCUGGAUCAGAGUCAUAACUUCUCAUUGAUCCCACAUCUUAUUUCUUCUUAUGAAGGUUGAAGCAGAGCGUGCCUAUCAUCAAAUAAUCCUACAAAUACUUGAUCAGCUUGAGGGGGAGGUAAGCAUUCAUAUCACUUGCUCAUUUGACCAUUUAUUCCGCAUACAGACGCUAAAUAUUCCUUUUGACGGACAGAUAAUUUUAUUUCGAUAUCAACUUGAUUUCGUGCUGUAUGUUUAUUGAUGAUAGAUGAUAUCAGAACAACGACGAAUUGAAACCCCUCCUAUUCCCAGUCUGGAUAACAGCAUGCCACCACCUCCGUCAUAUGAAGAAGUGAAUGGUGUCUAUGCAUCUCAAGCACAUAAUGGAACAACAGAUAGCAUGGGUUACUUCUUAGGAGAGGUUAGUACGAGACUGCUUCUACUCUCUUGUACACAGGGAAACACCUACAAAUAUUAAAUUUUGAGAAAGGUGACAACUGUUUUCUUUUUUAAUUUUACUCUUCUUGCAGGUUUUAUUUCCAUAUUCUGCUGUAUCCGAAGUGGAGCUAAAUCUAUCGGUUGGUGAUUACAUUGUUGUUCGAAAGGUUCGUUGAACCAAAAACAUGACUUAUCUCGCACAACCCCCUCGCGCUCCCCUCUGGUUUUGGAGGGUGCUCGUGCUUCUCUUGAAUUACAUUAUUUCUGCCAUCAUUUCACCCAUGCUAACGGAUUAAUAUAAUUUUCGAAACAGAUUCGGGUAAUAACCAAGUAGAGUGCAUUUAUACUAUUCUCAUGCAAUACUGAACCCAUCAAAACAGAACUAAAGCAGUAUUGAUAACCUGAUAUGAACUCUGAACAUGAUCGAUUAUGUCAUUGCCCAUUCAUCUCUGAAUGAUUGUUUGGUCAUCUAUUUAUGAUGUUGCUUGUGUGUCCCAAAUCAAGCUGUUGUGCUUCACGUGCUGAUGACUAACACAAAAUCCUUGUUUUUCAAGUUGGCCUGAUUUUCCUUUGGUUAAUGAUUAUGGUGGCUGUGGUUUUAACAGGUGACAAACAGCGGAUGGGCCGAGGGCGAAUGCAAAGGCAAGGCAGGUUGGUUUCCGUUUAGUUACAUUGAAAGGAGGGAACGUGUUCUUGCAAGUAAGGUGGCUGAAGUGUUUUAAGCUUUUCCUGUUGAGUUGGUUUCUUAACCUGCGAAUUUUGUAUGUAUGUUUUGAUAUGUAAAACAAAUUGAUUUGGGAUAUAGGUGGAAACUUUUCCCAUGUGAUUAUCAUGUAGAAUUUAUAAAUGAAUAUUUUGUUAUCCACUUUUAUUUUAUUGCACUCAACUUGUUUCCUUUAUACAAGUGCUUAUGCGACUUCUAAGAACUAAUUAUUUGGGUGAUCUCAUUUGUCAUUUUGAUUAUGCAUCAAACUAAUUUUAGUUAGAAGUGACGUUUUCUUUUUAUUAUAAAUUUUUAUUCAUUAAAUGUCAACCAAUUUUGGAUUUAUAAUAUCUUCAGCAUAAACUCAAAUAUGUGAAUAUUUAUCUAAAAUCAUGUUCAUUGGUAUUUUAAAUUGAUUUUGAAGGAUUUAAUGUUAAUCCGUGUUUUUGGACUCAUUGACGUAUCGAUGAACAUGUUAAAAUAUAAACUAACUGAAAUAUAAAUGAACUGAAAUUAUAUCUAACUAAUGAAAUUAUUCAAGAUUUUAAUAUAUCGGUCAUAAUUUCAAAGAAAAAAAAUUAUGUUCAAAAUCAAAUUUUAAUAAAACUAUUUCUUUAUGUUCACACUUCAACACCUGUGCACAAAAUUUUGGUAUAAUCAUACUUUUGAGGAUCUAACGAAGUUUUUCUAUAAUACAAUUUAAUAUCGUUGCACUAAAAAAUUGAAAUUGAGAUCAUUAAUUAAAUAAAAAAUUAUUUUGUAGAAAUUGACUUACACUGUGGAUGAUAUUAAAUAACAAUCUAUUUAAAGGAACGUUUCCAUCAAUUUAAUUAAGAGAAAAAUAGUUUUCACUUAAAUUUAUUGCCAUCCUUAUUACAAUUAAUGUCAAGGAUUUUAGUUCACAAUGUUUGCUAAGUUGCAUAUCUCCUACCUGAUUGCAGCAUGAAUAAAAUUUUCUAUACUUGAUACAUUUUUUGUGUCACUUCCUCUCAUUCCUUCUGAAUGAAGUUUUCCCCAAUAUAAAAAAUACAUUACUAUUCUGAAAGAAUGAGAGGUGACUAAAAAAUUUACGAAAUGCAAAAGUAUUAUUUGUAUUGUUGCAUCAGAUUUCUUUUGUAGCACUCUCAUAGUUUAUGCAGUUGGCAUUUCUGACAUAUAUUAACAACAAAAAAUGAAUCAAUACACAAAUUAAAUAAUCAAAUUAAACUAGUCUUAAAAUUAAAGGAUGAAAAAUAUUUGUUUUAUCUGAAUUAAAUAUUUGUAUAUUCAUACCCUUCUUGUUACUUGUUUUUCAACAAUUAUCUAAUUCAUAAUAUUUUUAUAAUUGUUUCAAAUUUAUAUACACAUCUUAUGUUAGUUUCAUUCAUAUUUAAUUUAGAUAAAUAUAGUUUUGAUUCCUUAAUAUUUUGAAAUAUUUGUUUCAGUGAAUUGAAAAUGAAGUGUACCCAAAGCAAAAUGAAAACUUCCCCUUGUGCAAGUUCGUUAACUCUCUGUUCCUAAACAGUUUGCUACACGACUGUUUAACAACUCUAAAUAAUAAAGAAUUAAAAUAUAAAUUAAAUUAUUGAAUAAAAAUUAGUAAAACGGGUUAUAAAAUAGUGGUAUAAAUUUCAACACACUCUUAUCUAAUGAAUAUUAGACAAGUAGAAAAAUGUGUUUUAUAAUAAAAAAAUUGUUUUUAUUUAAUUUAUUCACAAAAGUGUGAACUUACAAAAAUAUAGUUUUUAUUAUUUUAAGUAGGUUUAAACAAUUUUAAAAUGAUAAAAUAAGGGCUGAAAGGAUCUGUAACCAUGUUUUCUAGGGCUUCACAGUUUUACAAGUACUCAACAACGAGGAAAACGUUUCAAGUACAUUGCAAAACCAUUAAGUGACUUGUUAUAAUAAUAUAUAAUAUAUUAAAUCGAGUCACGAUUUACCAUUUAUGAAUAGAAGAAGCGGGAAAUUUUCAAUUCUUCUCACUCACGUUUGGAAAGACAAAUCUAAAUAGAAUGAAAAAAGGAGUGGACAAUUUUAUAAAUAAGGAUAAUUGUUCUUACAAUUUUCACCGUACAUUAAAAUUAACAAUAGAACUUAACUUACACUAGUUAUUAUGGUGGUUAGCAGACAGAUAGGCAAAAAUGAUGGAAACCAUGAUGACCAGCAUGACAAUCUGCAGGGAUGGUUUACGUCAGUAUAUUCUAAGAAAUGCAGAAUCCAGUUUAAAAAAGCAAAAGCCAAAACGUACCAUAAAUGAGCCAUAUCCAUUUUCAUUCUUCACAAUGAAUGAUUUCCUGCUUAAAAGAAACCAAGGGUUUGUUUGUUAGACUAUGAAUGGUAAAAAAAGACACUUUUGAAGCAAAUCGGUCAUGUACCUUUUACUCAAGAGACCAGAUUCUCUGCAACUUUUCUGUAUAGCUACCAGCCUGCUCAAUGUUUUUGUGGCAUUGGGAUCAUUUUUGUCAACCUACAAUGGAAAAUAUAGAAGCUUUUUAUUUGGAAAAGGACGGCUUUAAGAACUGCUGCUUAUAGGGGGGAAAACGGCAAGAUCGGCAAUUUUGAACUUUGGCUACUAUAAAAUGUCUUUUACAUUAGGUCAAUGGAAUGGUAGGAUCAAGGGUUAUUUGCUAUUUUCUUGGGAAAAAAACACCCAACCAGGAAAUUUUUUUGAAGUGUGUGCAUCAAGUUAUUGAUGAACCAAAAGUGUGAUCCUUUUAACAGAUUGUUCAGGGUAGAACAAACAAAACAAUAUAGUGACUCUGCAAUCCAAUGAAGACUUGUAAGACUGUAACUUGCUUUAUUGUUCAGUCAACGACUUCAAAUAUUUAUUGUAGCAAUUGCUACCGUAUUGUGGCAAAAACUAUGGUUUUAGUAAAAGUCAUAGUCAUUUUCCCGUUGUAAAUAUUAUGUGUUUAUUGUAUAAACAUUCAGUAGGAAGUAGGAAUAUUAUCCAAUCUUAAAUGCAACAUGAGUAGCGUUCACAUUCUUCUGUUGCAAACCUAAUACGGUGUUAAUGACAACAGAUUCAUACCUUGGACUCCAACACAGAAGCAAAAUCAAAGAAAGCGCCAUAGACAUCAGCCAUAGUCUUUGUUCGGUCAAUCACCUUGGCAGUUAAACCUAUAAAUUGGAAACAAAAAUGAAUAAAUAACAUCUAGUUUGAUAUUACACACCCACAAACAGUAACAGCGUAUAACAAGCACAAAACCAAUAGUUACAUGUUGAUCCUUUUUUAUUCCCAGAAGAAAAAACAAUAGUUUGAAAAUGAAAUGGGAAGAAAGGAACCCAUACAAAUGCCACAGCUAACGUACAUACAUCUAGGUUAUGGUAUUAUCACUUCACUUCAAAAUUAUAAGGAUAUCCAUCAUAGAAUUGUAGCUCCUGGCCUCUAAACUAAAAAAGUAUAUGCUAUUUAGCAUUAGCUACUUUGUCCAAGUUCAAACUGUCUUUCCAAUUCUUAACCAACAUCCAUAAGGGAGGAUGCAAGUAUUUAUUUAGAUGUGAUAUUUAAACAUCCAAGCUACAAAUACAGAAUCUAACAGGAUAUGGACAUCACGCAGCCCAAGAGUAGUUAUCUUUCAGACAAAUGCAUAUGCAGGUUCCAUAACAAACAGAUUCCAAGGCAAUUUUAUGGGGAUUGAUUCAGCAUGAAAUAACGUGAAAUCCAAAUUGAAGCAAUUAAAUAUUCCUACGACUUCAAAAACAUAUGUCCUGUCUUAUAUACCAAUUGUGGCUUUACGUUUAGCAUGCCUCAAAAUUACAUUACAAGGACUUCAGUAUCAAAAUAGUUGUUCUGACCUCUCCUCAUUUUAACUACACCUCUGAAGACCUCAAUGUUGUUGUAACAUAACGCUAGUGUUCCAAUUGCCAUUAUCUGUCACAGUGCAGCUAUGUCAAAUAAACAUCAAAAUUACUGGGGAAAGAUUAUCAAAAUAACUAUUGCUAGAUACAUUAAUCAUUAAACAUAAAAUGAAUAUGAACGAAACUAACACCCCUUUGACCCCAAAAAAAGUUAAUAGUGCUUAAAGAAAAAUAGGUUCCACAUAGCAUCAGGGUAAUCCACCCAAGCAGCUUCUUCCUCUAGAACAUAUGCAGCUCAAAAGAAAAAAUUUCUUAUUCCACAUAGUAUUAACUAAAACCAGCAAGGCUAUAUAGCUAAACCCUCAGACCAUCAUGAUCUAUUAAAAUAACUCAACCACAGGAAGACGAUCUGUACUCUAACAAUUAUUGUACAUGAAGUUUUGAUUAAAAGAUAUUCUGUUUCAUGGCUUACCACUCUGUAUCGGUAAAACAUUUAACUAAAAAAUGUAUAAUAGAUUGUUAUUAACACAUCUUUUGGGAAGUCUUUAAACUAAAUCUUAGAAGAAACUGAAAUAAUAUAUUCAUUUUACUUUUUCAUAUUUUAUUGAACUGAAUAGGGAGGAAGCUGAAAUUAUUAAACUCUUCUGAAACAUAACAUGGUAUGCAAACAAUAUAAAACAUGCAGAUAAAUUACGGUAUAUCAUUGCAACAAAGAGUGACAUGAACUAAAUAACAGUUCCAUCAGAAGUAACUAAGUAAAAGAACAGCACCUGGGGUAUAGCACAAAAGCGAAAUAUAGACGAGUCUCUUAAAGCAGCCAUGUAUAUUAAGGAAUCUUCAGCAUGCAUCAGAGCAUUAGUGACCAUGUCAUUUAAGCAUUGUACUGCUUUAACAGAGUUCUCCUCAUAUUUCAAAUCCUGGAUUAUAACAAUUAAAUUGAAGUGACAAAUAAGAAACCCAUACAUCAGCACACCUGGACAUCGAGCGAAAGUCAAAAAGGCAUUUCAUGUGUACGUUAAAAGUGUGACUGGAAAUUUGAUUUCACCAUCACACCGUGUGAGAUUAAUGAAAUGGGGGAGAAAGAGCAGAAAGGAUUUGUGUAAGACUUUGUGCCCCUUCAAUUUAGUGUUUGAUGGAAUUGAUUUUAAACUGUCAACUAUAAUUGACGUGCGUGCUUAAAUUAAUCUGAACCACAUACUUGUCAUGGGACAUGUGCUUUUUCAUUGGAGAAUGCGAGAACUGAUUUUCUAGCUUUUGAAAUUAAUUAAGCUAGAUGUAAAUUCCUGUAGUGUAGAGCCAAACCUCGAGUUUGUUAACAUAUUUACUCCAAAUCUCUCGUGGCCAGAACAUGCGUGACUUGGGGAUUUCAUUGAUGUCUUCCAGAUAAUCUCGAAUGAUGUUUGUUUUCUGCAAUCUCAAGAGGUAGCAUAAAAUGUAAGCAAGCAAUUGCAACCGUACUGCAGUUUUCAUAUCUUACAACCAUGAUACCUGAAGAAACAAGCCCAUUGAAUUGGAAAGGGAAUCAGAAGCCAGAUCUUCUGAACCAGAGGCAUGGAAGAGCUUUGAUAAACCCAGCCCAACAAGUCCAGCCACGUAGUGACAAUAUUCAUCAUAGUCAUCAAUUGUUUCAACCUGCAGAUGGAAGAAAAAGGUCUCUUGGCAUAAAUCAAGAUGAUCUUUCUAUGUUGAAAACAUGGCAGAAAUCCCUUUGCAGCAUAGUGUUCAGUACAUAAGAACUUAUAAUAGAUGCAUUAACAAUAAUAGUAGUAUAACAUCAAAAUUAAAAAAUUGUUGUGUUUAAAUAAAAAUAAAAGAUAUCUGUUUUCAAAUCAUUAUAUUGACCAUCUCUCUAAAUUGCCAUCUACCAAACAAGAUAAUUUAAAAGACCAAAAAUCAUUAAAAACCAGAAACUAGCAGGACAUUUAAAGGAAUAACAAACAUCAUAUAAUGUCUUGUCAAUCACAGAGGUUCACAAUAUUAAUUGUAAGAUAAUAAACAUAAUAUUUGCAGAACAGAAGCCUUGUGAGACAAACCUCCUUGCAAAUAAAUUUGGCCAUGCCAGCACCCAUUCUUUUUGUAAUGUCCUCAAUUGCUUCCUGAUAGCUGCAAAAAUCAUUGACUAACAUUUAACUUGUUUGUCAUAGAAUAUACAGCAAUAAUUUAAUUACAUAAAUAACUGAGAAAAGCUAAAUAAAAAGGAAGUGAAUCAAUAGUCCAUAUACACAUCUCCGUUGGUCGUGAAAUCUCUUCAAUUUGAACAAUAUGAAUGCACCAACACAAAUUAUAGAAUGAGAUCCCCAGUUUAGGCCUUAAAUAUUUUUUGUGUAAAAACCUACCAGAGACCAAGUGGAAUAUAACUAGCAAUGGACAGGAACCCCGAAAUUUUUGUAACUGGUGAAAAAAAUACAAAAUACAGAAACCUCUGUGUUAUAAUGUGGAAAUAAUUGAUAAUUCUUAUUAAUCACAGAUACAAAACACCAUGUUUAUUCAUCAGUAUGUAAUCGACAUUAUAAUAAGUAAUUCCAACCCAAAUUUUAAUAUUCCAGAAAGGGAUACAAAUGAAUCCACAAAUGUUAUUCACAAAGAUAUUCUAUUGGUAGCACAGCAUGCAUUAAUGAUAAACAGUACACACCCCCACUUCCCCAAGUGUAAUAACAAUGAUAGCAUAAAAUUGGAACCAAGAUUCAAAGGGCUGCUGCUGAUUGGAAAGGAAAAAUCAUAUGCUGUGGAAUUUAAAGUUCAAUUUAGGUAAACGAGCACAGAUAAAAACUGACUUCUUUCCAAGUUCCAGAAAAGCAGUUGAAACAUGAUGAAUCUGGUCCAUUAGAACUUUGUACUCCUUUGUGCCACCUAGUUACAUUAAAAACAAUUAGUGUUCGAAUCAGCAUGAAUAAAUUUGGAGGCUCAUAUACUAUAAACUCAUUCUUCUCGUGAUCAAUAAAGGUUGUCUUUAAUAACAAUAUAAGUAAUUCCUGUAUGUAGUUUAAAAUCCCAUUCAAUUUCUGAAAAAAUAAGUUAGAUGUGGUUAAAUUGAAUAUUUAUGACUAAAAAAACCACAGAUUGGGAAAAGAAUGUUCAAAUUGUAUUGAAUCUUAACUUAGCAUAAAAAUAUUAAAUAAAGAGCACAAAGACGACACACUCACAUGAAAAGUGCCAAUCACGAUCAUAAAUAUGACGGUGAAAAGCUAUCAGUAUAGGCACCUUGACAUCUGUAGCUAUGCUAGUGUCAUCCUCUGUCAAAAAAAAAUUGAGUUACAACAAUAUAGAUAAUUUCAAUUUUGUAACAACGGAAGAGUUAUUGUUUAGAAUAACUUUAAACUAAACAUGCAUCGUUCAAAGGAAAUGGACGCAAUAACCAGCAGAUUCAUAAGGACUCGGAAAUUCUAUGCCAAAUAUGCGUGCCUUCCAUAAAGUAUUCUAGAAAAAGAAAAAAACAUUGAAAAAAAAAAAACUCGAGCUACUGGUUUUCAAUUGAGUUUCCAUUUUCAAGAGCUUCUAAAAAGAGCAGAAUCUUAAAAUCACUAUCGUUUCCCAAAGAAGUUGGACGAUAACACCAAUCCCUGCACAACAUUCAAAGCUUCAAAAAAUAAAAGAAAUAAAAACAAAGCAUUGAACAAUCACAUCUCCACACAGCGUUGAUAAUUAAAACCGACAGUACUGACAUUCAUUCGUCAUCGCAAGCUACAAAAAAACAAAACAAUAAAAAGCGCGCGCAUCCAAUCGAAUAUACGAAUACAAACCAACGGUGUCGAGCGCUCGAAGAACCAGAUAGAAUAUGCAAACCUGACGGAAAAGGAAAACGAGGUCAGUGGAGAAAAGGCGGAAUCGAAAUCAGAAAACGAGAGAGGAAUCGGAAGGAACUAACCGCGUUGCGAAGGUCGGUGCCGAGCUGCUGAAUGACGAGUGCGAAGCUUCUAGAAACCUUGUGCAGCAUAGUGUAACAGAAGGCCCAGUGCAGCUCCGGCGGGAUCUGCUUCUCAGCGUUUCUGGCGGCUAUUUUGAGCUUCAGCAACGGGUAAAAGUCAUCUGGAUGCUUCAGAAUCGAUCUCAGAGUCCCCAUUCUCGAAGCUUCCGCGUUCGAAUUUCGAUAACCACAAUCGACGUUCUUUGGAGCUAUUUGUAACUGCGCAAGAUCUUCCCUCCGAUGGUGACUACGACUACUUCGCCUUUCGGGUUUGCCAAAUUUUGGAAAAAGGGAAUAUAUAACUAUUUAUUCAUUUAUGGAUUUAAUUAUUAUUUAUUUAUUUAUUUAUUUGAGAUUGAAAAUUAUAAAUUAUAUUUCUAGUCACACUCGGUAUCAGCUAGCAAUUGCUUUCAUCCGCGACAUAAAUAAACAUAAAUAAAACAGUUUUAAAUAUAUAAAUUAAGAUGUGUCUUCCAAUAUAAAUCAUCCAUUAUCUUAUUUAGAUUCUAGACAUUAAAAUCCAAAAGUUUUUUUUUCUUAUUUUGGAUACCAAAAUUCAAAAAAGAUAAAAAGAUAACCAGAGAAUUAGCAUUUUCAUUUUGUAGACAAAUUCGUUUAAAUGCACGUCUUGUCCCUUUGUCUGGACUGGAUCAGAUUUUUAUAUAGGAAUCAUCCUUCCUUAGCCUAACCACCAAUGACUACCAUUUCUUUUUUGUAGUCUUUUAAAUUAAAAUUAUCGUUUUACCCUUAAAAAAUAUACUUUUAAUGAAUAAUAAUAAAGGUAGUUAACAAAUAAAUAAUUGAUGGUACUAUAUCAUGAUUUUUACUAAUAUGUUGUAAUAUUAUUUUUUUCAUUAUUAAAAUUGAUAAAUUAUAUUAUUUGAUACUAUUUUAGUCUUGUGUUACUUAAUAUGAUUUUUAAAGUCGUGACUUAUUUAUUUUAGUAAUUUUUAAAAAAAUUAUUUAAUAUAAUAAUUAAGAGAUAAAAUUAUACUAUAUUAAUAAAUAUUUUUAUUAUACUUAACGAAAUCUUGUCAUCUUAUAUGAUUUAUCAAUUUUAAUAAUUUUUAUAAAAUUUAUUUACUUUGAUAAGUAAAAAAUAAGACUACACCACAUUAGGAAUAUCUACUAUGUGUGAAUAGUUAAAAAAGAUGUAAGUAAACAAGAAUUUUAAAAAAUAAAUAAAUGUUGUAACUCUAAAGAUAAAAUACUGCAUACAAAAUUAUAUCCUUUUAGAUGACUUUUAUUAUUUAUAGGUUUUAAUUUUGGAAGAAAUUACACUUGAGUCUCUAUUCCUAUCAAAAUAUUUUUAAGUAUUUUUUCAUAAUAUAAUGAUUCUACAAUAAUUUUUUAUUUAUACUUUAAAAGAGAUAUAAAUCAUGUAUAUUAAAUAUUUUAUUUUAUAAUCUAUGGUCUUAAGUUUAAGAUAUUUUGAGGUCGUAUUAGAAUGUUUUGAUAAGAUUUUAUCCAACUAAAAUAUCUUAGAUACAAUUAUUCACUCUAAUGAUACUAUCCCAAUAUUUUCUGUUUUAAAAUUUAAAAUUUUAUCAUAAUUUUAUUUUUAAAAACACAUAAAAAAAUUAAGAAAUGAAAUGAAUAUGUGUUUAAAUUAUCUUUAAAUUGAUUUCAACAUAUAAAACUAUUAAAAUACUGAAAUAAUAUAUAAUUUAUUUUAAAAUAUAAAUGGUAAAAUAUACUAUAUGCAACGAUGAGAUUAAUAUAUUACUACGUCCGUGUAGCAGCUUUAAUGAUAAGACAGCAUAUUAAUUGUAAAAAUUGAAAAUAUUAAAUUUCUUUACAUUUUUUUAUAUUAUUUAUCAUUGAGAGUGGAAAAUAUUUUUUUCUAAAUAACGAUGACAUUAAUAUAUUACUACUUCGUGUAUCAGUUUUAAUGAUUUAAUCACAUCAUAUUAAUUGUGAAAUUACCAAAAUAUUAAAUCUUUUUACUUUUUUAUAUUAUUUAUCAUCGAGAAUGGAAAAUAUUUUUUUUUCUAAAUACCACCACUAACUGUGUAAACAAGUUUUACCAACGAGGACUGAAACUUUAACUUUUAUUUAUUUGCAAACACUAAAACUUGUGUAUUUCUCAUGUGAGAACAAAAACUUGAAACAAUUACCAAGUGUAUCGUUUAAUCCUUUUAAAAUAAGUACAUUAAAAUUUGUAGCAGAGAAAAUUCUUAUAUAAUUAACAGUGUAAAAUCUUGUACAGUAAAAAAAUAUCUAAGUGGGAAAAAAAAAACAAUAAUAAAUAAAAAAUUGUUAUCACAAGUUAGCAAAGAGACAGAUACCAACCUAUUUAAUAGUAUAUCUAACUUAAACUACAGUCUUAAUUUAAGACUUGUAUUAAAAAAACAUUAUUAAAACAUACUAAUGUAAUAUAAAGAUAAUCUUAAAUUUAAGAUUCUAAAACUCAAAAGUGAAAAAUAUUUUAAAUUUUAAUAUAAUAAUUAAAUUAUUUUUUAAGACUAGAAAACAUGAAAUAUUAAACUAUACAAUAAAAUAAAAUAAAACAAAAAAUAAAUGAAUAAAUGGAUGUUAUAAAAAUCGUUCAUGUACUAAUCACAUAGUACACACGAUGAAUAAGAUAAGAAAAGAUCAUAAAUAUCACAAAAGUUUUAUAUCUUCGAUGUUACAUAUAUCUCGAUCUUCCAUAAAUGCAUGGUUAUUAAAGUCAACGAAACACACAGAUUUUUUUUUAAAAAAAAAUAUGUUUGAAAUACGUUGACCAUGGAAGAUAUUUCACGUUAAUUGUCAGUGUAAAUAGUAAAUUAACAUAUAUAUAUAUAUAUAAAAUACAUUUCUUGAUUUUUUUCUUUGAAAACAACGAAAUGUUUUCAAUUGAUAGUAUAUUAAAAACCUAUAAAAAUAAAUUAUUUAAAACGUACUUAUAUAAUUUUUUAAAUAUUUAAAUUAAUGUUACAUGAGUAAUCAAGUGAUACUUUGAGUAUACACUUAAAAUAUUUUAAAUUAUUAAAAUAAUAAAAAUGUAAGAAAAAAAAGUGAAAGUUUAGUUAAGUUUGGGAUAUGUAUGCUCGUUUUUAUAAUUUAAUUUAUUAGAUUUGGUUAAGUUUGAGAUGAAUAUUUUCAUGUACUAUUAAAUUAAAAUACUUUGAAAGGUGAUUUUAUUAAUGCAUGGUAUAAAAUAAAUUUAAUCAAAACAGUAAAAUGAUUAAUAAUUUGAUAACUUAAUAUCUUGAGAAAAAAAUAAGAGAAUAUACAAGUAUAAACUAAAUUAAUAUUGAAAGAUAUGGAUAUAAGUGUGUAUAUUAUAGUUAAUUCCAAUGAAAUAUUAGAAAUAUAAAUCGAAGAAAAAUACUCGAAAUUAAAAAAAAUGAAACAUGUGUCUUUAUAAAAAAAAUUAAUAAAAAUAUUGUAAAUAAAAAGGUACAAGAUAAACGUAUACUAAAACAUUAUUUCUAUUUUACUUUCAACGAUUUAACAUAAGACGGGAUAUAUCCUUUUUAUUAUGUAAUCACUAAAUUAUAAUUAUAUUAUCUGAAUUAUUCAUUUUUUAUCUUGAAAAACGUGACCAAUAAAUCUUAAAUUACUUUUAGUUUUUAAGCAUUUAAAAGUACAUAUUAAAUUAACUUUAAUAUACAUUCUUAAAUAGUUUUAAAUUGAUUAAUAAGCUAUUUAACGAGUUUUUGAAUAAAUUUUCGAAUUCAAAAUUUAUAAAUAAAAAGCAUGUUUUAAAAAGAUAUCUUAUUAAAAAUAUCCAAUUACAUUAUUCCAGGAAUUAUAUUUAUUAUGAAAAAUAAUGAAUAUUUUUUUAAAAAAUACAAUGAUCCAUUUUGAAUCUAAUAAUAACUUUUUUAACCAAUUUGAUUUCAACAUUAUAUUUUCACAGUUGUUUUCAGGUAUCACUACUUCAUAUUAUUCCACACAAAAAAUGAAAUAUCAAUAAGUAAACAUAAAAAAUUUAAAUAAUGAGACGCACCUAACUAAGAAAAAGAAAAGAAAACACGUUUUGUUGCGGUUUUUUUUCCACCAAUUUGUUUAUGCAGGGCACGCGAGAAGCGAGUGACACGCUAAAAGCGAGUGACUCAAAAAUAUAAUUAUUAAUAUAUACUUCUCCUCUACUCACUGAAUAUAUGAAGUAUAUGUCACGAAAUUUAUUUAAUAUUUUUGUUUAUAUAAUAAAUAUAUUAUUCUCAAAUUAUAUUUAUUGAGAAUUAGAUUUAAGUUUAUAAAUAAAGCUAUUUUGAUAUUAAAUAAGGUUUAGAAAAUAAAAAUUAAGUCUAAUAAAUAUUUUUUAAUAUUUGAUGUUAAAGGAAAAACUUUACAAAAUCAUUAUUACAUUGAGGAUUGAGGGAAAUGAAUUAGGUGAAUUUUAUCAUUUGUUUUAUCUAUUAAAUUACUGAAAUGAUAAUUUCUAGAAUGAAAAUAUAAAUUAUUUGAUGUUUUCAAUUUUUAAUUCAACAUUCAUUUUUAUUUAUUAUUCAAUUUAAAUAUGUAUUAAGAGAAGGUUAGUGUUUUGCUAUGGAAAAGAAUAGUGUAUUUGUUAGAAUGAAGAAACCGUUAAUUGGGACCGUUCGAUAUAAUCAUAUGUUAGACCGAUAGUAAAAUGCCUUUCCUCACCUAGCUAUUAAAUUUAUUUUGGGUGUAAUUUAUAUUUUAGUUUUUAAAAUUUUAGAGUAAAAUGUAUUUUUUCUGUUUCAAAUUUUGUAAAAAAAUAGUUUCUAAAAUAUUUUUAUAUUAUUCUAAAUGCUAAAUCCAAGAAACUAAAAUAAAUCAAUAUCUUAAACAAUAAAUAUAUGAAGACUAAAGGAACUAAAAUGAUUUUUUUAAGGGAAUCCGAAUUCCAUUAAAAAUUAGGGUUUAGGUUUGAAUAUGUUUAAAAUUGCAUGGGUUAAAAAUAUGUUUAAAUUUUUAUUAUAAGGAUAUAGGUUUUUAAAGUGCAUUUAUAUGGGAAGUGUGAUUUGUGGUUGUAAAUUGAAUAAUAUUUUAUUUCUGUGGGGUGGUGUAGAUAGUAGAUAAUUGUUAGUACUGGUUUUCUUUGGGCGUGGGCUUUGGGAGGGGCAAUGGGAGUGGAAAUAGUGAAUUAGGGAGUGGCGUGGGAAGUUAUAAGUUUAAGCAUUUUAAGUUAGAGAUGACCCACAAGACAAAUCUUUCUUUCUUCUUUCUUUUCUCUAAGUUUCACUUUGAUUUCUCAAAUUCUCCUCCAUUUUUAAGUUUCAGUGAUUUCAUCUUAAAAAAAUAAAAAUAAAAAGUAGCACAAUUUGGAGUUAGAAAAGUGUAAGUUUGUUUUAUUUUAGUGAUUUCCUUUUGGAAGAAGUGAGCUUGUGUUCAAUUCACCAAUAUAAGGUUUUGGGUUAUUAAGUUUGAAAUUUUAUGAGUUGAAUCACUGUUAUUCUUUAGCACUUUCCCUUGAAUGAUCCAAUGUUGAGGAUAACUAAUUUUCAUUAUGUUAAAUAUUAAAUUUGGUACGUGUAAGAGUUGUUUGGGUUUUAAUUUUAAUGAAUUUUGAUUGCACAUGAAAUGUUAAAAAAAUGGGAUUUCAUUAAAAUGUUAAAUGUUACCUGUAUGGUUUUUAUUCUGGUGCGAUGAGUAAAUUACAUUCUUGUUGAAAUGAAAGAAGAUACUUCCUAACCUCCAUUCUAGCUUUUAUACUUUCAUUCUAAUUAGUUUAGAAUUUAAAAGUUUCCAAAAAUAUGAACAAGUCAAAUAAAUAUAUUUUAAAACGUGUUAUGAAAUUUCUGGAAUUUUGGGAGGAAGAAUUUCCCAUUAAUUGAAUGUUAUGUUUUAAGUUAGUCAUAUCAAUGCAAUGAUAUAAAAAACCACUUUAGAGUAUAUCUCGUAUAUUUUAAAUGGUAAUUAAAUAUUUAAUUAUUAAAACAAAAAAUAGUAUAUAGAUAGAAAAAUCAAUUAUUUAUGUUUUAUUUUAAGAUAAUCAUUAUUUCUCUAUAAAAUUUUUUCAUCAACUUUCUCUUUAAUUUGCUAAAUUCAUAUGUCAUCAAACUAAUUAUCGAAGUUCACCAUUAGAUUCUUAACAACGAAUACUAUAAGAUUGUCCUGUUGGAGUUUUAGAUAAAGUAAGUUCAUUUUUCUCUUUUUUACAUUUGAGUUGGUUUUGAACUUGUUACUUUGGUAUAGAUUUUUGCAUGUGAUAUUUUUAGCUUAAAGACCAGUCUUUGUCAGAGUCUUAGUAAUAUGCCUUUGAUCAGGACUAUGUAUUGCAAGUUAAGUUAUCCUUGGAGCCAUGUAGUUGAAGCUCUAUGUGAGCACACAUAAUCAAGUAAAAAAAGUUAGAUUAAAUUUUCAAUAAAAUCCUAGAUUAGAAUAUUUGGAUAUGGGUGAAGUGGUCACCGUUUUUAAAUCUCCUUGCAAGAUUGUUUACUUUUGAGUAAAACAAUAUUGAAUGGAAUUAAAUGUGAAAUGGUUUAUUUUGUAUAGUAUAUGUUGAUUUUGACAUUGAUAAGUUAUUAAAUGUGUUUUUGUCUGAGAUUGAAAGUAUUGAAUGAUAGUAUGAAUUGGUUUGAAUUUCAUCAUCAUUCAAUUGAAGUGUAAGAAUGAUAAGUAUUGGUUGUUUGAAUCUAAAUGAUUGAAAGUGGUUUAGAAAUAACAAAUGUAUAAACUGACAUAAUAACUUAAUGAAAGUAACUUUGCAACUCUAAGCAUGAUAUGUUUUGUUGCCUCGUAUGUUUUAUAAAAUUCAAGUUUGAGUGUGAAAUUUUGUUGGAAAUUUUGAAAUAUAGUAGUUUUAUGUAGCUUUUAAUAUGCAACUUUCGUUGAAACUAGAAGAUUAUCGCAAAAACAAGGUAAAAAAUGGGGUGCUAUCGAUUUGAUUUUCAUUUCUGCUAAAGCUAAAAAAAACUUAAAUUUCAAUGUUUGCUUAUGUGUUUUUGGAUUAUUAUUAUUUUUUUUUAAUUUAAUUUUAUAUGAAAUUUAAUUAUAUAUUUAGUUGAAAAUUCUUUAGUCCGUGUGAUUAUGUUCAUUUUAUGAGUAGAAUUUAUUUGUUUGUUUUCUAAACUUUGGUGUGAUUAACUUGUGUGUUUUUGUAUAAUGUAAGAUAAGAAAUAUGAAGUUGUAAUCAAGAUAUGAUAUUUUUAGAAAAUAAAAUACUAUGUUAAAAUUGUUAGGAUGUACAUUGAUUGGUGAUUUGUUUUGAAAGAUAUAUUUUGAUUUUAUUGAUAUAAUGAAAUCAUAUAAAUGAAGUUAUUUAAGUGACAAAGUCGAAUGUAGUUCCCAUGAACGUGUCCGUUGUUUGAAAGACAACUAAUUUGACAUGAUAUGUGAAUUAAUCAUGUAUUUAAUUAUGUUUUCUUUAUCUGUGAUGAUCGUGUUUUUACACGGAAGAAAAUGAUGAUGAAGGUGGAAGAGUUCUAAAUUAGAUAAAGAAAAUGUUUAAUUUUUCAAGAAUUUUAUUUGAUAUGGGUAGAUAUUAAAUUUCAAAUAAAAAAAAUAUUUUGAAUUAUGUAUAAUUUAUAUGUUAUAUAUAGAGAGAUAUUUAUUUUAAUAUUCAUACCUAUUAUAUUUUAUAUAUAUAAUAAAAUAAGAAUGUUACAAUUCAGAUUGAUUUAAUUUAAACAAAAUCUACUAUCUUUUUUAGAUGAUUUAACAAUUUCAUAACAAACAAUUCCAUGCAUCAUCUAUGUGAUAAUUUUUAUGACUAUCAUCAUAAGUUGAAGAAUAGACAAUAAAAAUAUAUAAUUCGAACUAAACAAAUAUUCAUUAACAAUCUGAUAGCUUUUUACGUGAUUAUAAUCAUACAAUUAUAUUUACAUUCAUAAACCAUUAAAUAACACAAUAAUGAAUCUUAAUUAAGCAACAUCACAUAAUACAUUUUUUCAGUAAAACAAAGUUAACAGCAAAAAACCCGUAACUAAUUAAUCAAUUAUUCUCACAAUUUCAAUAUAUUUUUUCAUACGACGCUGACCUUUGACUUACUAUAUUUUUAAACAUUUUUUAAUAAUUAACAGUCUAGAUUGUAGACUCAAUUACUAUUAACAUUUGAAAAUGUAACCAUUAGAAUCUCAUGAAAAGAUAAUGUAACUAUUUAGUUUUUAUUUUGAAAAUGAAAUUUUGAUUAUAAAUUAAACAGUUUUUUUAAAAAAAUUGCUAACGAAGGGUGAAAUGAUGAAAGUGUUGAAAAAAGAGUGUAGGAUUUUUUAUAUUAAAUAUUUGUGUAGUUAUAACUUAAAAUUUAUAAUAAAUAUAUCAAAUGAGUUUUUUAAUUGUCAAAUAAAUGGAUGGAAAAAAAUUUGGUGUGAUGGAAUAUGUUACAAAAUUCUUAUUAAGCAUUCAUGUGAAAAUAAUUUAGUUUGAUAACAUAUAUAAAUUAAACUUUAAGAAGUGGAAGUUGCAUUUAAGGCUUGGCAAUAAAUGUUAUAUAGAAGGAUAAUAAGAACAAGUCAUCUACUUAUUAUAAUUCAUAAUGAAUUUAUAUUUUUUAAUUAAAACUUCACCAUUUAUUGUUAUCUUCUUCGGGGAAACAUAUAUAGUUAUUUUGAUUUUUUUUUAUGAUGUACCCUUUUUCACAUAUAUUGUAUUUUCUUUUAUUAAAUAUUAAAUAUUUGUUCUAUUUAGUCAUCAAAGAUGAAGUUCAGAUUUUUCUCUUAAAUGGCGUGUCGGUGUUCGAUACUUGUAUCAGACACCACACUCUUAUGACAUUGUAGAACACGUAUCCGUGAAGUGUCUAAUUCAAAAACUAUUUGUUAGAUUUCUGACAAUUCUAGUACGGUUGCAACACAAUUUUAAAAAGAAAAAAAAAAUUAAUUUUCUAAAAAUUCAAACUUGAUUAUAUAAAUUAUUAUUAUGAUUAUAAAAAAAAUAAACAAAUCCUUGUGAACCAGUCAGGAAAAACAUCUUUUUGUUUUAAAAAAAUAAUCUGAAAUAUACUUAUGCAAAUAAAUCUUUAUUGUCAAUUUAUAUAAUUCAUAAUUAUAUAAUAUAUAGAUUCGUGUAUCUGUGUUCUAUAUUUGUGUAUCUGUGUUCUAUAUUUUAGAAAUUUUUACGUAUCUCCGUUCGUACAGUGUCUCUGAGGUGAUAAAUAAUAAAAUUGUUUACUAUUCUGAAUAAUGGUUUACCAUGAAACCGUCUCAAUCAACAUUUACUGUCAAUAAAAUGCAAUUUGAUUUAUAUAAUUUUGCAGAGCUAAACAAUAAUUAAAAUAUAUAAAAUUGUUGAAAAUUUAAUUACAAAACCCUAUCAAUAAAAAUCUCUUAGAAAAACUUUAGAAAAUCACCACAUACUUACAAAUUUCUUUUAAAACCUACAUUUUUUUUUUUGAAAUCUCAAUGGAAUAAAUCCUCUUAUUUUUGCAAAAUAUAAAAUUAGAACUUCUAGCAACAAGAAUAGAAAUAUUGAAUAUAUAAUGUUGAACACAUUUCCCUGUCGUUAUAUAAAUCUAUUACAAAUUAUUAAAUUUCAUAAAUUCAAUAAUCCAUCCACAGUACUUUUAUAAUUUUAAUAAAUAAUAAUAUUAUUACUAAAAUAAGCAUGUGAAGAAUGUACUGUUAGCAAGAGAAGAAAAGGAUAGAAAAUCAGUUGAAGUGUGGUGAGCCACUCAGACCUGUGUUCGGUGGGAGGGAAUACUCUGUUUCGUUUUCCUUCCCUCCACCAAAGCAGUGCAGAGAGCAAGAAAUGGCAUUCAAACUCAAAUCACUACCUCUUCCUUACUCUCUCUACUCCUCUCCCCGCCAAAACCCUAAUUUCAUGCUUUCAAACCAUCGUCUUCCUCGUCGUUUCGCUGCACAUUCUCUUCCUCUCAGUCUCUGUCUCUCAAGCACAGCUUCUGCAUCCACGUUUCAUCGCACUGCCUUCGUUACCGCACGCGCAUUUCAAAGUGAUGAACUCAUUAACGAAGGCGAAGAAGACAGAGAUGAAGAAAUGCCGAGACAGGGUGAGAAAAAGGAACUAGCGAAUCAAGGGAUAUGGAGGCAGAUGAAGGACAUUGUGAUGUUUACAGGUCCAGCAACCGGACUUUGGAUAUGUGCACCACUUAUGAGUCUCAUCGAUACUGCAGUUAUUGGUCAGAGAAGCUCCAUUGAACUUGCUGCUCUAGGUAUUGAAACGGAUCAAUCGUCGCUUAAUCCGCAUUAUUAAGAUUUCUCUUAAUUAUGAAAAAUAUAUCGUUUAUCUUCUUUUUUUCCUUCGAGCAGGUCCUGCUACUGUUGUUUGUGAUUACAUGAGCUACGUGUUCAUGUUUCUCUCAAUCGCCACUUCCAAUAUGGUUGCCACUGCCCUUGCUAAACAGGUUGGUAACAGACACGUGAGAUUAUUGAAUGCUAAAUAAGAUAGUGUAUCGAAAAACUGAGGCACGAUGCAAUUAGGUCCAUAUCUGUGAUGUUGACACCAUUGAUGUUGUUAAGUAUAGUGAGUGUAGUGAAGUUACUCUUAUGUGCUACAAGGGAGAAUGGUGGUGCCCUGCGGUUUUUCGUCACAGAUCUUUUAACAUGGUUUAUCUUGUAUAUAGCUUGCAUGUGAGGACAACAUAGAACUGUAAAAUUUUGUUCCCAGACAAUUUUUUUUAGUGGUUUAUCUUUACGAGAAAGUUUAUGUAGUGGCUCUAUACUGGCAUUUUUUUUCUGGUGUUAACACUAUGGACCAAAGCUUAAAUUUAUGCAUGUGUAGGAACUAAAGCUCACAGUUUUCUCUCAGACGGACUAAACUUAGAAUGGAGACAAGUAUAGGGACCAGUGAAUAAUUUAACCCAACACUUAUUAGCAGUAACGAGCCGGCUAGACAAUAGAGAGUGAUCGUAAAACUAAAUAACAGAUUAUUUGAAAUUAAAUAAGCUCUAUUGUUAUCUGCAGUUUGUUAUUAUAAGUAGAGACCAUACCUUCUUCUGGUUUCUAGGCUACUGUAUCGUUAUGUAUCUAUUUAAACAAGUGUAUACCGAUACAAGUGAAUACAAAUCUCUUUACCAGAUUGAUUGCUAUAACAAUAUCGGUGAUUAGGAAAUUAAUGUCUACACUACAGUAAAUAUUGGCGUGGAUGAUUUAUCUACUACUACUACUACUAUUAUUUUUAUUUGAAUUGACUGAAUCUACACGGUUGUGUAGACUUCAAUUUGUAUACUUACACUACAGCUUAGCAUUGAAUGUUGUAAAAUGUAAAUACGCUGUGAUGCAUGGUUUAUCUAUUAUUAUUAUUAUUAUUAUUAUUAUUUGAUUCGACUUAAUCUACACGAUUCAAUUUGUAUAUCCACCACUCUGCACUUUCAGGACUUAUACUGCUCUUUCACGAGUUUAUGUAGGACAAAGAAGAAGUACAACACCACAUAUCUGUUUUGCUUUUUGUUGGGCUAUCUUGUGGCAUUGCGAUGCUUUUGUUCACAAGGCUAUUUGGUGCUGCAAUAAUAACUGGUAUUGAAAAUGGAGUGUUUUAUCCAUCUGUGCUCUUCAACUCAUUUUGGAUAGCUAGAAUGAACCUGAAAGGUUAGUACUGUAGAGCCAAUCCCAUAACUGAUGAUUUUGCUAUUUACAUGCCUUUUCAGCUUUCAUUGGACCAAAGAAUGCACACAUAGUACCAGCAGCUAGCAGUUAUGUAAAGGUUUGUUUCUACCCGAUUUUAUAUCCUUUGAGUUAAAUAAAGACUGCAAUCCAUGCUCUAUAAAUUCUAGAAGUUACAGAACUGUUAUGGAGACAAGUAAUUUACCAGUUCAUAAGCUUUUUUUUUUCUUGUAAUUAUGAUAAAGGUAUUAUGUAAGAUUGCUUUUUUUACAAAGGGAUAGAAUCUUGUAAUAUGAAUUUGCUUCAUUAAUUAUUUUUAAACAAUAUGUGAUGGUGUUCACAUCCACUUUUUUUUAUGCUGUAAAUUUUCAGUUACAGUUUUCUUUUUCUUCUUUCAAUUUUAGAUUCGAGGCUUGGCAUCACCUGCCUUACUUGUUGGAUGGGUUGCUCAGAGUGCAAGGUGCAAAUAUGCUAUUUAUUUCUAACAUCUGAUUCUCUGAUGUAAGUAGUUGGAAUUUUUAUGUCAAAUCUGAGAUACUGCUCCAGUCUUGGUAUUCCAUUUCAUGCAGCAAUUGAUAUCAAGAUGAAAUACUGUUCAAUAUAUCAGUAGAUUAUUCUUGAUAUUUUAUUGUGUAAAAUUCCUUUGCUUUAACAUUUCUGAAACAACAUCUCUAUAUCUGGAAUAUAUAUUGUCUAUUUCUUAUAUUUUAAGCUAAGUAUGUAUUUUCCUCUUUCUAAGUUUUCUUUAAAAAAUAAUUGUAAUUAUGAAUAACCUCUUAAAGUUUCUCUUAUAUUCGCAGAGCUUAAUACAUACCAAGUAUCAAUGUUUGCUUUGUCUGAUUUGAAGAAUAUGUCAAUAUUUGGCUUGUUAAAUUAAUUAAUGGUUUUGGUAUUCAUGUUCUGCAGUCUUGGUAUGAAAGAUUCCUGGGGACCCUUGAAAGCUUUGGCUGCUGCUAGUUUUAUAAAUAUAAGUGGUUGUAUAAUUUUGUGCAUCUGUUUAGGCUAUGGUAUUGUAGGGGCAGCAUGGGCUACAAUGGUUUCACAAGUAUGCUGAACUAACUCUUAUUUAUGAUAAUAUAGUGGCUUGUAUUAUAUACGGUUGUACUCAUUCUCAAAGUACUAAGCUCAUUGUGCACUGCUUUUCUCUUCCCUUUUUGCUUCUAGGUUGUUGCUGCUUGCAUGAUGAUUCACACUCUAAACAAAAAGGGAUAUAAUGCACUUGCCUUCUCCAUUCCUUCAGGGCAGGAAGUUUUGACGAUAUUUGGUCUUGCUGCUCCUGUAUUUAUGACAAUGAUGUCAAAGGUUGUCUCUAGUGUAAUACUAGUUCUGUAGCUUUGUACGCAGUAGUCUAACCUUUUAAUAUAAUCUGAAGUUAUGAUGUUUAGGUGGCUUUCUACUCACUACUUAUAUAUUUUGCUACAUCAAUGGGUACACAUACAAUGGCUGCUCAUCAAGUUAGUUUUAUUUCCUGUCUCCUGUUUUUGUGACUAUUGCUUCCUUUGCCUGCUAUCUGAGUUUUUUUUUUUCUUUCUUUCCGAAAACGAAAUUCUAGGACAAUAAUAAUCUAAUUUCUUGCUUCAGGUCAUGGUCCAAACAUAUUCCAUGUGUACAGUAUGGGGUGAACCUCUCUCCCAAACCGCUCAAUCAUUUAUGCCUGAACUGAUAUAUGGAGCAAAUCGGAGUUUGUCCAAGGUUAGUUAGUGUUUCUCAUUUAUAAUGUCACAAAUCAUUCUCUGAUGUCAAAAGGUAUUUGCCCUGUCUUCUAUCUACGGCCUUUGAUCUCUCAACCCCCCUUUUUCUUGUUUUCAUAAUAUCAAACAGGCCUGAUUGCUUCUAAGGUCGCUUGUGAUAAUUGGAGUUAUACUUGGCUUAUUGUUAGGGAUUGUUGGAACAUCAGUUCCUUGGUUAUUUCCCUACAUUUUUACACCUGAUCGGAUGAUCACCCAGGAGGUCAGUUCAUUCUUUUUUCAAAAUUUAGAUCACAUAUUUGUGUUGUCUCCUCUUUCAUUUUAAUCCACUGCAACCUGUUUCAAAAUGUGUGGCAGUACUAUCAAUCAUUAGAAGCUAAAUUGCUUUCUUCCCAUGGUUUAUUUUGUCCCUUGAGAGUUUUAUGAUUUUAAAACGUAGUCUGGAUAAUAAUGAUUUUAAAGCCGGAAUAGAGACAUUAAAAUGGUAAGAUACUAAUGCACAGUCGAACUAUUAUAAAUUAUACACAAAAUAAUUAUAAAAUAUAAUAAAACAUAAAGAGGAUUCUUUUGGUUAUAUUUGAAAAUUAAAAAAAGGACCAUAUUAUUAUGUCUCUUGCAUUGUUAAAACUUAAUAGCAAUAGUUGAAUUAAUAAAUAAAUUUAAUUUACAUAAAUACUAUUAGUAAAAUGAGUAAAUAUGAUUUAAAAUGAGCUAUUAUAAAGAUUUUGUGAAAUAAAAUAGCCACCACAUGUAAUGUAACAAAGAAGUAGUUGCCAGCAGUGAGGUGAUGAUGGAUGAAGCUGGAGGUAUCAAAUUUGAAUCCUGAGAUUAGAUGUAUGUGCAGAGAUUUUUAUGAAUUAUAAUAAUUUGAAAUUUAGACUAUACAUAACUGUUAACUACUGUAUUUGUAACCUUGCAGAUGCAUAAGGUGCUGAUUCCAUACUUUAUAGCCCUUGCUGUAACACCCCCUACUAUCAGCCUUGAGGGAACAUUGCUGGUAUGUAUGCUCACUUCAUCUUCUUCCAUACUUGUUCUUGUAGGAUGUUUACGAUCUUUGGGUGUGUUUGGGUAAAACGUGUAUUUGAAAGUUGCACAGCUGUGCAGAAAAAUGGCGCAGCUGUGCAAUUUGUCAUGCAGAAUGAGGCAUGCGAUUUUUAAUUUUAAAUCCCUUUCCUCAACCCUUAAAUCCCACAUUAUAUCCUAAAAACCCUCAUCCCCUUCUCAGUUGUGCCCCUAUUUGACUCACCCCUCAAAUUUUCAUCUUCCUCGUCCCCCCAGAACCUCCUUAGCCACUCCUUUCACCACCAUCAUAUACCUACCCUCCACCACAGUUAAACCAACCAUACUCCAUAUAAAAUCUUCCUUAUCUCUUUCCCAGGUCACACAACCUUCUCCUUUAUCCUACCCACCAGCUUUCAUCUUCUUUCUAUCUCCUCCAAAUCACCAUUAUUGCAACUCAGUGGUCUCCAAGCAGAAGAAUCCAGUUGUUGGGUCAUCUCAACCCAAACCCUCAAGGGAGAAGCUCUAUUUGAGGAAGAUGGUGGAAACACCCACUGCUAAUUCACUUGAUUUCACUAGAAAAAAUAUGAUGCUUUGUACUGCCACACUUUUUGUGCCACUGGUUACUUGGAUUUCUCCUUCCUUGAUUUUAUAAGCUUGAGGAUGAUUUCAAUUUAUGUUUUUGGCAAUAUGGGGGUGGGCGAGAUCUACCUCAAUGAAGGAAAACUUCUACUUGGGAUUAGUUUUGGAAUUCUUAGUACUUUGUAUAUUGGAAUUAAUUAUGGUGAUCCAGUCAAUGAAGGAGAAGUAUCAUUCAGACAACGGGGUACAACAAUGUCGUGGCUGAAAUCAAUCCCAUUUUUGGCUUCCUGCUAGUGGAAUAAAGCAUGAGCCCCCCAUUCACCUAUUAGUGAGUCUUAGUGGAUGCUAAAAAAAUGCAUCUUUUCAUCCUUAGUUCCCCCCCUUCAUCUAGAUUAUGCAUAGGUUAUUAACAUCCACCAUUUUGGUGGAGGUGAGUGAAAUGGAAAAAUCAGUUACCGUGACCUUCUCUUUUUUAUGGGCUACUGAUUGACGAAUAGGAACAACUUGAUAUUGGUGUCUUGCUUGCUAGGUGACUUCAAACUAUUGCCAAUGGAACUUUUAGUGUAGUUGUGCUUGAGGGCCUCAUUAUCUCGAUUGCUAAGUGCUAUUGUCAUACUUAAUUCCUUGAUCAUUUGGAUCCCCUUGAAGGUUUACCCACAAUGAUCUAGUUAUUGUACAAUUCAUGGGAUGCAUCAAGCUCCACAUGUUGUUUAUGAACAUAAGGUUGGUGCAUACUACUUUGAGAGAACAUGGGUAGCUACUGGUUAUAGACAUUUGUUUGAGGAACUACUAAGUAGCAAGCAUCAGUCUUUUGUUCAUAAACAAAGUGUUAGACCUUGAUGCAUCCCAUGGUAGUGUCUAGGUCAAUUGUUGGUGAGCCUUCACAGAUAUUCAGUUGAUAAGAAUUGAGUAUGAUCAUAAUGCUUAGCAAUGGACGUCAGAACCCCAAGCAUAAAUGCUUGUGGGUCAAGCAUAACCCAUAAAAAGACGAGGUCAAGGGAGCUGAUUUUUCUGUUCGACUCACCUCGACAAAAAAAAAAAUAAAUAGUUGAUGCUUAAAACCUAUGCAUAAUCUGAGGUGGAGAAAGAAUGUGGAGUUGCAAUGCGAUGUUGUCCACUCAUUAGUGAUAGCCUCCAGAAAGUUUUUGGGUCAAUAGGUGGAUGAGGGUUUGUGUUUCAUUCCACAAGUAGGAAACCCAAUAAUGGAAUUGAACUCAGCCAAUGCAAUGUUAACAACAUACCAAGAAGUACUGAGAAAUUUCAAAACCACUGUUAGGCAUAAUAUUUCCUUCUAUGUGGCAAAUCUUGUCCACCCCACAUUGCCUAACAAAAUUGAAAUCAUCCCUCAAAACUAGGAGAUCAAGGGAGGUGAAAUCCAAGUACACAUAGUGGUAUGACCAUACAUAACAUUGUACCUUGUCUAAUGGAAAGGGUAAGGAAUACAAGAACCAAAAUUGUUGGUGGGCGGUUGCCAUGUUAUUUUUUUGUACGAUAAAUGUUAGUUUUUCCGUUGGGGGGACUCAAACCCACGAUUAGGAUGAGUACGGGUAGUAGCUAUCCACUACCCCCGAUUACCCGUUUAAAAUUACCUGUGGAUUAUUUUAUACCCUUAGAUAUUUAUUUUUUGUAAAUUUUAAAAAUGGUUAUCUGAAUAUAAAUUCAAAUAAAAAAAUUAUCCUUGUUGGAGAUCCCACAUCGACUAGAGAUUAGAGUCUUUCAUUGUAUAUAAGUAGGUGCAAACCUCAACCCUAUGAGCCGGUUUAAUGGGGUUGAGUUAGGCUUAAAGUCCACUUCGUAAUAUGGUAUCAGAGCCCUUUCGAGCCUAUCCUAGCGAGUGUUUGUGUUGGGCCUAUCGUGCCACCCGCUAUCGGGCCGCUAUCGAACCACCCAUAAUAUAUAAUCCCACGCACGAGUUGGUAGUCUCAGCAUGAGGGGUGGGUUGGAGAUUCCACAUUAGUCUAGCUCAGUUGAUUGAACAAGAUGUGAGUUAUUCUAAACUCCUUACCAUGUGUUUAAUUUCUAUGGAUAAAAGAAAUAAAAUUCAAUUAUUAGUCUUUUUAAAAAAACAAAGUUAAAUAAGUCUACUUUGUGUGUUUCAUUAACUCUCUCAAUAUCUAAAUUCUGUUGUUUCAAGUUGAAUUAAUAUUUUGAUAUUUUUUUAUCAUAAUGGUAUCUAAUGCUUAUUUGAUGAUGAUUUAAUUUUAUGCCCAGUAUUGCAACUCAUUAGAAACAGGGACCUCUGCAUGUGCCACAUAAUAACUGCUAUUGCAACUUCAAUGUAUGUUUACUCGUGCAGGCUGGGCGGGAUCUGAGAUAUAUAAGUUUGUCAAUGACUGGAUGCUUUUGCGUGGGUUCACUAGUAUUAUGGGUAAACACCUUUCCUUGAACUCCUGGCAUAUUGCUUCACCAAUUUUGCCUGAAACAUCCAAUUUUUUGUGAUGCCCAGGCCUUGAGUAGUAGAUUUGGUUUGCUAGGUUGCUGGUUUUCCCUCGCAAUAUUUCAAUGGGUAAGAAUAUGACCUAGACUUGUACUAAGUUAAAGCACCAGUUCCUUAAGUAUCCUGAUUUUCAAUUCUGUUAUGGUUGUUAGGCUCGGUUUUCGAUGGCCCUCCUGCGCCUUCUUUCUCCCAAGGGCAUUUUAUACUCGGAAGAUACAGGCCAGUAUGAGCUGCUAAAGCUAAAGACUGCUUAGUUUGUGUCCCUGCUUUUAUACUUAUAUUAUAUUUCAUCACACAAGUUACAAGGACAGAAGACUGUUGGGUCAUCUCAACCCACGGGUCAUUAGUUUUAUAAUUCAUUUUAUCUGUGUUAGAUUGGAUUGAAUAAAUGAUUUUUCCUUCUAGUAGCAUAAAAAAUAAUUCAGAUCCUUGUAGUGGUGCAAUUUGUAUUGGUUUAUGUAAUACUUUUCUUUUUAAUUUUGUAUUUUUUUAAUGAUUUUUAUUUAACUGCCAUCUUCAAGGUUUAGAAUAAUAGUAAUUACACUUUUAUCAUUUAUAUAAACUGUCACUUAAUAUUUAAUUAAUUUACAUAUAUUUGUAUAUUAUGGUAUAGAAAUGAAAAAUAUGAAAUAGAAAAUUUUAUAAAUAUUUAUUAAAGUCAAGAAAAUUUGUAUUUUUUAAUCUUUUAAGAGAAUCUUAAAUUAUACCUAAAAAGAAAGUAGUAUGGUAUGACUUAUUACUUCGGUUGUAAACCAUUAACUAAGGGCCUUCAGAACAAUUCUCAUUUCCCUCAAUUAAUUUUGAAAAAUUGUAUAUGCUUGAGAAAUGAAACAUUUAUUUUCUGACUUGGUAUUCUUUUAGGAUUCUGUGACAAUUGCGAUAUACAAUUGUGGUUUGUAUAAAACUAAUCCUGAGGAAAAUGUUAUGUUUGGUAGUAAAUGAAUUUUGUGGUGAGGACUAUUGAAGGAUAGCACUUGUAUGAUACAAUUGGAUAACACAUGAUCAUCUUUUUCAGCAUCGAGUUAUCUUAACAUCUAGAAAUGAGAUUGUUAUCAAGUUGCAUGCUGAUAUUGACUCCGGGUGAUAGUCUUUGCUUAUUGAAUGAAGCCAUGGAUUUCAAAGGAGAAUGUUGAUACUUUGGUUUUUUUUAAACCAUUUCUUCCAAAUCACCAUUUAGAACUCAAAAUCGGUGUUCAUGUUAUAUUGAUAAUCAUGCAUAUAGUUUUUGGAUUAUACAAUGGUAUAAGGUUUAUAAUCACUAAAGUGAGUUGUUCUCUUCCACAAGCAAAGUAAGUUUGAGGGAUAUUAUUUGGCAAAAGGUUUUUAUUUCUUUAUUGUCAUUAUUUCCAUUGCAUAAUGAAAUUCCUUCUAACUUUUCAGACUUUUUUGUUUUUUUAGUGAAAAUAAAUAAGAGUUAAGGACAAUGCCACCAAUUAUACAUAGAAGCAAUCUCAAAAAAUUUAAUUAAGGGUGGACAAAAACUCCAAUUAAACUAAUCAAUAUAUCAAUAGCAGUUCAAGUUCAAAGCAACUCAAAUUUUAAUUUAAAUGAUAGUUUUCAUUUUAAAUUUGUAUUCAAAUUUCUAUUUAAAGAAUAUUUUGGAUUCUAAAAUACAACACUGAGGUCUUACAAAAUUUAUAUCACGUCAAUUUUUUUAUACAGAAAUAAUGAAUACAAGUUUGUCUCGAUCUAUAUGUGGUUUUGAUUUUUAUUUUCAGAACACAAAAAGCUAUUCCGAUUUUAUUUUUCUGGAAUGUAUUAUUUUUUAUUCUAGAUUUUUAUUUUUGGAAUAAAGGAUAUUUUCGAAAUUUUAUAAUUGUGUUGAGUGCAGUUUAAAAAAUAUUAGGUGUAGGAAGAAUUUGCCCGAAAAUGAACAGAAUGUGAAGAAGGAAUUUGGGCUUUCAAUCUGGAAGGAUCAAGAAUGUAAAAUUUGUAGUGGAUAGAGACACCUCGUACAAACUACAAAUAUGAAUUGGACGUGGAGGGUUUUGAAGGUGGCAUUUAGACACUAAUCAUGUGCCCGUGCCUCUUCGUUCUCAUUCGACGAGACUGCAAGUUCAAAUCUCGUGAUUGGGUUCUUCAGCGAAGACCAUAGAGAUAUAUGAACAACAACAUGCAUGUGCACUUGCACCCUCCAAAAUCACAUCACUCAUUUGUAUUUUAUUCAAUCAGUGCGAGUUUUUUUUCCUGGAAUUGAUCGGGUGGAUGAAAACAAAAUGGUUGAGAGACUUAUGCCCCUUGAUUCUGUAACCACAUCAAUUUGUGAUGGUGACCCAAAUAAAAAAAAUUAAAUGCUGUUAAUUCCUUUUUUGUAUUUUAAAACUAAAAAUGGAAAACUCGCCGACGCCCAACACAGCCUAACGAUUUUCGGUUAUAAUUCGCUUUCGUUUCGUUUCGUUUCGUUCGCCAAAGCCGAGAGAGCGAAGAAUGGCAUUCAAACUUCAACAACUACCUCUUUCUUCCUCUCUUCACUCCUCUCCCCGCCAAAACCCUAAUUUCGCACUUUCAAACCUUCGUCUCCCUCGUCUCUUCUCUGCACCUUCUCUUCCUCUCACUCUCCGUCUCUCAACCACAGCUUCAGCAUCCUCGUUUCAUCGCACUGCAUUCGUAACUGCUCGCGCAUUUCGAAGCGAUGAACUCGCUGACGAAGGCGAAGGCGAAGAAGAAGAAGAAGUAUCGAGGCAGGGUGAGAAAAAGGAACUGGCAAAUAAAGGCAUAUUGGAUCAGAUAAAGGAAAUUGUGAUGUUUACAGGUCCGGCAACCGGACUUUGGAUAUGUGCACCGCUUAUGAGUCUCAUUGAUACUGCAGUUAUUGGUCAGAGAAGCUCCAUUGAGCUUGCUGCUCUAGGUAUUGAAACGGAUUAAUUGUUGCUUAAUUCACAUUAUUAGGUUUUCUUUCAAUUACGUGAAAUAUCUAGUUUAUCUUAUUUUAAUCUCCUUCGCGCAGGUCCUGCUACUGUCGUUUGUGAUUACAUGAGCUACGUGUUCAUGUUUCUAUCAAUUGCCACUUCCAAUAUGGUUGCCACUGCCCUUGCUAAACAGGUUGGUAACAAAUGUGUGAGAUUGUUGGAUGUCGAAUCAGAUGCAUGUGUCGUUACACAAAAUUGAUGUUCUUAUUCUAAGUUGAACAAAUAUUGCGAAAACUGACUAGUAGUAAACACCUUGUCUCUAUCUGGAACAAUGGUUUUAGGAUUAACAUAUAGUUUGACUGGUCUUCAUGAAUAUAUCAGCCAUUUGCUUGCUGGUGUAACCAGCUUUGAGUGUGGAGAUAUGGGCGUAUUUGAAUAAUCUAUCAAUUACCACCAAAAUCACUUAAACCAUUGGAAGAGGGAAGCCCUGCGAUAAAAUACAUAGCUAAAUCUUCCCAAUUUGAUCUGGAAUAGGAAGGGGUUGAAGUAAACAAGCAGAAAGAGUAUUUUCAGUUUUAGCUUGUUGACAAACGAGGCAAUCCUGAACAUAUAUUGCUUGACAUCUUUGUGCAUGCCCUGCCGAUAAAUUGGGCUGUUAUUCUGGACAAGUUGUAGCCACACCAGCAUGUACCUCUAGCAACGAGCUAUGAAACUCAUACCUAAUCUGUUUUUUUAAUUCAUGUUCUGCUAGAAUAACUAGCCUGCCUUUCAAUUAUAACAAUUGAUAAUGUACUGUGUAAUAGUCUAGAAUCAGCACAUACAGCCUCUUUCAGCAUUGAAUGGUUGAGAUCAGGCCACGAAGAAUGAUCUUGAUAAUGAAUCUGCUGUCUCAUUAUCUUUACCAGGUUUAUAUUCAAUUGUGAAGUCAUAGACCAACAAUUUGGGUAGCCAAUAUUUCUGUUCCGGUGUCUGGAGUACUUUAUCAGUUAAACUCCUCAAACUGUUCUGAUCCAUCAUAAUCACAAAUUUCUGGCCAAGGAGGUAUGUCCCGAACUCAACAACCACCUCAGAUAUAGCAUAAAACUCCCUGCUAUAGUCUGACUGCUUGUGCAUUCUAGUCGUCAAUUGGAUGGUGAUUUUUGCUCAACACAGCACCUAUACCUAAUCCUGAGGCAUCUGUUUCCAAGACAAAAGUUGAGAAAAUCAGGAAGAGUAGGACUGGGGCCUGAACAAUGGCAGUUUUGAGAUCUACAAAGGCUGUGGCAGUAUGAUUAUCUCUGUGGAAAUUUUCUUUCUUAAAUAAAUGUUAAGAGGGAUGGUUAAUCAAGCAUAACUUUUUAUAAAUCUUCUAUAGUAUUCUGUAAGUACAAGAAGGCCUCCUAACAGAUUAAGAUUCAAAGGUAUAGGCCAAUCCAACAGUACCUGGAUUUUACUUUUGUCCAUUCCCACUCUUUUACUUGAGACUGUGUUCCAAAUAAUCUACUUGCGGCAAUCCAAAUGAGCAUUUAUAUAAUUCGCACAAAGUCUAUGGUGCUGCAAUAUCUGAAGUAGCACCUCCAAGUGAGACUAAUGGGGUGGGAGGACCAAGAAGAGCUAUAAAUCAAUAUAUCAUCAAAGAAUACCAAGGCAUAUUUCCUCAAGAAGACCUUGAAAAGCUUCAUUCAUAAGCUCUGAAAAGUUGCAGGGGAAAUUAGUUAUUGUCCAAAUGCUUUCAUCAACCAUUCAUAAUGGUCGUGGUGAGUUCUGAAUGUUGUCUUAUGUCUAUCAUCAUCCUCCCUGACUAAAAUUUGAUGAUAUCAGAAUCUUAAAUCCAGCUUAGAGAAAUAAGUUGCUCCAUCUAAUUCAUUAACAACUGGCAUAGGGAAACUGUCUUUUAUCAUAAUUCAUUCAUAGCACUAUAAUCAAUACAAAUCUUCGUGUGCCAUCUUUUUUACAAUAGGAGAGGAAAAGGAGCCAGUGCUUGUCACAAUAAUACCUUCUUGUAGCAUGUCUCAAAUCAUACUCUUAAUUUUCUGUUUCUGACUUAUAUGUACUUCAUUAAAAACAUAGUAUUGACACCUAACCUUCGAUGUUGCAAUAUUUAAAUAUGUGGUAAUGCAAUGACCUCAUCUUUAUCUAGUAUUACUUGAUUUGACUAAAUCUACAUGACCUUGUAGAUUUCAAUCUGCAGAUCUAACUAGUGCACUUUUGGGACUUACACUAAUUUUUUCUCGAGCUUGUGUAGGACAAACAAGAAGUACAACAUCACAUAUCUAUCUUGUCUUUUGUUGGGUUAUCUUGUGGCGUUGUGAUGCUUUUGUUCACUAGGCUAUUUGGUGCUGCAAUAAUAACUGGUAUUGAAAAUAGAGUGCUUUAGUCACUUGUGUUCUUUGACACAUUUUGAAGAACAAGAAUUCACUUGUGCUAGAAGGGUAGCAGAAUCAAUCCCAUAACCUAUGAUUUUUCUAUUUAUGCAGCUUUCACUGGGUCAAAGAAUGCACACAUAGUACCUGCAGCUAGCAGUUAUGUAAAGGUUUGUUUCUACUUGUUUUUAUAUGUUUUGAUUUAAAUAAAGACUGUAAUUAACAUUCUAUGAAUUCAAGAAGUUACUUGACAUGUUAUAUAUGGAGGGAAGUAAUGCAGAGGGUGAUUAAAUGUGUUUCUAUUAUCCGUUUUCACCUUUUAAUUAAAAUAGUCAACCUUGUUUAUAAUUUGAUUCAUAUUUCAAAUAUUUAUACUGGAAACAUUAAAAACAUUUUUUUUUUCUCAUACAAAUUCUUAAUAACAAAUUGAAAAUAAGUUGCUGUUUUUUAGUUUGAAAAUAAAAUCAACAAUUGAAAAUGGGAAAUAAAAAUGCAUGUAAAUUUCACCAAUUUUUUUAUUUGCAAUUCUAGAUUAAGAAUAACAUGACAAUUCUCAAAAACUGCUAAUAAGAUUUUGCUUUGUGUUUCCUAAUUAUAAACUGUGGUGUUCUCCUCUUAAUUUACUGCAGUGAUUUUUCGGUUACUCUGUUUUUGUUAGAUUCGAGGCUUGGCAUGGCCUGCUUUACUUGUUGGAUGGGUUUCUCAAAGUGCAAGGUGCAACUAUGCUUAUUUCUAACAUCUGAGUCUCUGAAGGGAUAGGUUUUGUUCAAUCUGAGUUAAUGAUCUCGAGGCUUGAUAUUCUAUUUCAUGUAGCAAUUGAUAUCAUGUAGGAAAUACUAUUCAAUAUAAUAAUAGAUUUGUCUUGAUAAAUUCUUGGAAACUAUUGGCUAAAGUUCCCUUGCUUUGACAUUUCUCAGACAACAAGGUUAAUUUACUACGUCUUUGUGUUGAAUAUAUAUUGUCUGUAUCUUGUAUUUUGAACUAAGUAUGCAGUUCCUCUUUCUAAACUGUGUAAACAACUUUUUUAGGCUGCUCUUACAAUUGGCAGCUUAAUAUAAUACCAAUUGUCAAUGUUUGCUUUGAAAGAUUUCAAAGAAUGGUGAGCGUUGGCUUAUUAAUUUAAUUGCACAUUCUGUAGUCUUGGCAUGAAAGAUUCCUUGGGACCCUUGAAGUCUUUGGCUGCUGCUACUGUUAUAAAUGUUAUUGGUUGCAUAGUUUUGUGCACCUGGUUAGGCUAUGGAAUUGUAGGGGCAGCGUGGGCUACAAUGGUUUCACAAGUAUGCUGAGCUAACCCUUAUGCAUUGUAUUAUAUGUGGCUCUACCUACUCUCAAAGUACUCUCUCUUACUCGUUAUAUACUAUUUUCCUAUUCUCAUACUGAUUCCAGGCUGCUGCUGCUUACAUGAUGAUUCAAAC